CGCGACGCGAAUCACCAACCUCCGACACUGCUUGAUCUUAAUUACGCGAAAGGAGAUGCGAAUCCAGACCCUGCAAAAGCAGGGGAAUUGUAUGCAAGCAAUCUUAACGUAAUGUACAGGCAAAUGGUGUCCGGUGCAACGAAGCCUACUCUCUUUUUUGGAAAACCAUAUCGUGCUGGUGAUGAUCCAAGUCCUGGAAUGGGAACAAUUGAGACCACCCCACACACUCAGAUUCACUACUGGACCGGCGACCCCAAUCAAACUAACGGGGAAAAUAUGGGCAAUUUCUACUCAGCAGGGAGAGAUCCCAUAUUUUAUUGUCAUCACUCGAACGUCGACCGAAUGUGGGACUUGUGGAAGAAAAUACCAGGAGGCAAGCGAAAGGAUAUCGAGGAUCCUGAUUGGCUUAAUUCAGAGUUUCUUUUCUGGGAUGAGAAUAAAGAGCUGGUUCGAGUAAAGGUUAAAGAUACUCUUGACACCAAGAAGCUAAGAUAUGGCUUUCAAGAUGUUCCUAUUCCUUGGCUGAAAGCUAGAGCAACACCAAAAUUUACAAGGCAGGAAAAAUCACGUCGUUCAGCUAAAAAAAGCGUUGUAUUAACACCAAUUAGUGCAUUCCCUGUUGUCUUGGAUAAAGUCAUAAGUGUGGAGGUUUCCAGGCCAAAGAAAUCAAGAAGCGCGACGGAGAAAGAAGAUGAAGAUGAAGUUUUGGUUAUUGAAGGGAUUGAGUAUGAAGAAAAUCAAUUAAUUAAGUUCGAUGUCCUCGUCAACGAUGAACCUGAUUCACCUGGUGGACCAGACAAGUCCGAGUUUGCAGGAAGUUUCAUCAAUGUGCCUCACAAGCAUGCAAAAAAAUCAAAGACAACUAUGGUAUUGGGGAUUACAGGAUUGUUGGAAGAUCUGGAAGCUGAAGGAGAUGAUACCCUUGUGGUGACUUUAGUGCCUCGGACUGGUGGUGAUUCUGUUACUGUUGCUAAUGUCAAGAUUGAGUUUGUCGCUGACUGAUCAUGGUGAUGAGAGGACAUAUGCUACCAUUUUCUUUUCUUUUCUUUUUUUCCUUUCGCCUUUUCUUGUUUUCUCUCUUUUCUAUGCUAGUAUUCAGUGAGUUCUCUUUUUUCUUUCAAGAUGCUCAACUAAUGGACCGUAUUUCAAUUUAGAUACUACAAUGGUUUCUUAGAUUUGUUGCCUUCCGGGGUGUUUGACAAUGUGUUUAAAAAAUGUUUUUUAAAAAAAUUAUUUUUUUAUUUUAAAUUAAUAUAUUUUUAAUGUUUUCAAAUCAUUUUGAUGUGCUAAAUUUAAAAAUAAUUUUAAAAAAAUAAAAAAAUAUUAUUGGUAUACUUUUCUGAGUAAAAAUCACUUUGAAAAACAAAUACAACUACACUUCUACAUAAUAAAAAAAUCAUUGUCAUUUUAGACUUUUUUUUUAAUGAUACAUAAACCUAAAACAAUAUGGUUUUGAAAGAAAAAAACUAAAUUUUAUCAUAAACUAAACCAUAUCAGAUCUCAAAUAAAUGAAUUACCAAGUUGACCCUAAAUCUUAUAAAACUAGGUCUAGAUUGACAAAAAUAUCUAGACUCAUUCGGUAAUAAAAAAAGAAAACAAAACAAAAAUUGGGCGAUGGAAAAGUAAAAGAGAGAGAGAGAGAAAAUAUCAAAGCAUAUCUUUCUCUAUUAAAUUUAUAACCAUCCUUAGCUUCAAUGUGUUUAACACUAAUAUACUAUGAUACGUUAUUAUUAGGAGUAAAUUAGUGUUUUAUCUUAAAUCUAUUUUUAUUUAGUUAUUUUAUAAUUAAAUUAGAUAUUUAUAUGAAAGACUAUUAUUUAAAUUCUUAAUAUAUAUAUAUAUAUAUAUGGGUAAAAAUUUGAAUGAUUUAAAAUAAACAAAAAAAAGGGUAGAACUUUGGUGUAAGAAUUAUUGGUAUCCUCCCUUUAGGUUUAUGUCAUUAAAAAAUAAGCUAAAAGGUAUGAAGAAUUCACUGUUCACCCGCACCCAUUUCAUUGGAGAUUACAAUAGUAAUCCACAAUACAUUCUUUUCAUUUUGUUUUCACUUUUUCUUUUUUUUUUCACUUUUUUUUUCACUCAGUGUAUUACUUUCCUUUUUUUUUUAAUAAGCUAAAGGGUGUGGGGAAUUCACUGUCCACCCACAUCCAUUUCACUAUGGAUUACAAUAGUAAUAUUGUAAUCCACAGUGUAUUCCUUUUUUUUUCACUCAGUGUAUUACUUUUCUUUUUUUUUUCCUUUUUUUUUAAAAAUUAUCUUUGUAAAUUUUAUUUUUUUAUUAUUGAGCUGGUUAAAAAUUUCGCUUUGUAAUUUUUUCCUUUAAAAUACUAUGGAUUGCUAUGAUGUUUUCCCACAUGGUUUUUUUAUUUUAAUUUUUAAUUUUUCAAAAUUAUAUUUGUCGAUUUUAUUUUUUUAAUAUUGAGCUGAUUGAGAAUUUAGUUUUGUAAUUUUUUUUCUUUAAAACAUUGUUAAUUGCUACAGUGUUUUUCCUCAUGGUUUUUUUUUUGUUUUUGUUUCUGUAUGAUUUUCUCCAAAAUUAUUUUUUUUAAUUUUAUUUUUUAAUAUUGAGUUGGUUAAGAAUUACAGUUACAAUAUGUGACGAAAGCACUGUAGCUUUCCUCGCAAAUUAUUGUGGAUUGCUACAAUGUUUUUUCGCACAUGGUUUUUUUUAUGUUUUUUUCUAAAAUUCUCUUUGUCAAUAUUAUUUUUUAAAUAUUAAACUGGUUAAGAAUUAUAAUUACAAGUAAAUACAAGUAAGGCUAAAUCAUGAUCUUAAGCUAAAGUUAAUUUAUGAAAUGGAUACUGAUUGAGAUCAUUCUCUAAAAUAUUAUGAAGAUAGCCCUAGAAACGAGUCUAAAUAUGAUGUAAUACUAGUUUAUAAAGCUGGAGAUUCAAAUAUAUACAUGAACUAUAGGAGAAAGUUCCAGUUUCUUAUGCCAUGUUUGUUUCCCGGAAUUCACUUUCCGGGAAACCACUUUCCAAACUUUCCUGUGUUUGUUUGCCAUUAGGAAAGUUGGUCAACGGAAAACACUUUCCGGUCAACGGAAAACACUUUCCAGUCAAAGAAAAAUUUGGUUUGGUUUCCAGGAAAAUGUUUUCCCUUUUGGCUGUGUUUGUUUUCCGGAAAGUGGUUUUCGGGAAACCACUUUCCAAACUUUUCUGUGUUUGUUUGCCAUUAGAAAAGUUGGUCAACGGAAAACACUUUCCAGUCAAAGGAAAAUUUGGCUUGGUUUUCAGGAAAGUGUUUUCCUAGAAAAUUUGGGCGGAAAACACUUUGCGGAAGUUGUGAAAAAUUUAGAAAUGUCAUUAUUUGCUGAUUAUAUCAAAUUUGAUCCUCAAACUUUUGAUUGCUAUAUAUAAUUUGUUUUGAAUAUUUAUUUUUCAAUUCCAUCUCUUAAAAUUUAAUUUUUAUAUUAAUUUUGGUCCUUAUUUUUAUAAUUGCUAUUUGCUUUUUUCUUAUCAUUUUUUUAUUGAAAUUUUUUAUCUAUCAAAUUUGGUCCUCAUUUUUUUUAUUGUUACUUAUUUUAUUUGAAAUAAUUUAUGAAAUGUUAAUUAUUAUUAUUUUAAUUUAUUCACCUUUUAUUUAUUUUUUAAUUUUUUAGAUUUGAUCUCUAUUAUUUUGAUUAUUAUUUAUUUUAUUUGAGAUAAUUUAUGAAAUUAUAUAUUUUUUUCAAUUUCAUUCUCAUUCAACUUUUUAAUUUGUAAGAUUUGUUCCUCAUUAUUUUAAUAAACUUGAGAAAAAUAAAACAUUAAUAAGUUAUUUUCCAGCUCAUUUUCCAUGACAUAACCAAACACUGGAAAGUGUUUUCCAACUUAUUUUUCAUUACACUACCAAACAUCGAAAAAUACUUUCCCGGAAUUCACUUUCCAAAAGAAAACUACUUUCCUGCAAACAAACGAGGUCUUAGUUUAUCAUGGAAGAAACUCCAAAAUGAAGAUAGAAACUAAUACACCAUAAGAAAAAGUCCCUUCUCGGAAAUUAAAAAAAAAAUAUAAAUAAUACAGGCACUAUCUCAUAAGACAUCCAAUAAAAUAAAAAUAAUAACACCAGAAGACAUUAAAAAAAAAUAUAAGAACUUAAUUUUAAAAUAUAAUAAGUUGGCCUAUAAAUGUCUAACCACUAAAAAUUGGCUCAAAACACUAGAAUAAGAAAGCGACCAAAAAUGCAAAAUAUAUCCUGAAGCCCACUCCAAGAUAGUCCAAGAUAGUCUCAAGUCUUUGUAAACAAGGAUUAAUGCUUUCUUUGUAUCCGAGUUCUGAUCCAUAAGAGACAAGCCGAUUAUCAAAUCCCAUUAAAAAGGUAGCAAUGGAAUUCAUGAAAGCUGUUAUAUAUAUAUAUAUAUAUAUAUAUAUAUAUAUGUUCUUGGAUUAUUUCACUCUAAAGGUAAAGUUUGGGUGAGUAUCCAAUUAACAAUAAAAAUCUUAUUCUAUCAACUAUACUACAAAAGUGAGUUACUACCAACUAUUUGGCCUAGGAGAGGACCACUUUUGUGACAUCUAUCAUCCAUUAAAAGAUAAAGAAAAUCUCUAAACCAAAAGAACAAUAGAGAUAAAAAUGACGAUAUGACUCCACAGAUGGAAGGAAGAUGCAGACUUGAGAUACUUGAUUUGCUUAUAAAAGCAGCAUACACAUGAAAACUUAGCCUCUAGAAACUAUUUUUCAUGCAAAGAAAUCGCUAGCAGAGUGAACUGGAUCCUAGGAGAAAACUGCAGGUUUUAAGAACAACACUUUUGGAUUAAAAGAAAGAAAGAAAGAAAGGAAUGUCAUGAGAUCAGGACACUACACUUUCAUGAUUUAUGAGAAACAAAAACCCCCUCCUAUUUUGCAAACAUGGCAUGACGACACGACAAUAUCCAUCUAUCGAAAAAAAUAGAAGAAAAAGCAGAUGCAUUUUCUUACAAACAUCACAGUAUUAGUUGAGAAUAAUUGGGAGGUUUAACCUAUUGGUUAACCAACUUUUUAUAUAUAUGUGUGUGUGUGUAGGGCAAUAUACAAUAGUAAUGAUGGAAAUUACAACAUAGAAGUAUGUCUAUAAUAUGCUCCAUCAAGCUAAGGGUGGAGAAUCAACUUGAAGUUUGAAUCAAAAAUUAGUAAAUGGAGCAGUAGGAAGCGGUUUAGUAAAAACAUCUGCAAGUUGAUCGUGAGAGGAGAUAAAGCGAUCAGGUUUGCAGUAAACGGAGCAGCCUCUCCUACAUUUGCUGCUACGAGCUCAGGUCCUUCAACAGAUUCUCUUGCAGGUCUGUAACUCUUUGUUGAUCUCUCCUCUUAUCCUCUUCAACAGCUUCUCAAUUUAGAUUCUUCUCCCCCUCGAUCUGCCGCUCGUUAGCAUCUGAUGGUUCUUCACCCACAUCUGCUGAAAACUGCCCUUUUAACAGCGUCUGUAGCCUUUGAGCCCUCACUUCUUUCGAGUGCACCUUUGAGCCCUCGACUAUUCUUUCGAGUGCGCCUUCGAGCCCUUAUUUUCCUUUCUCUUUUUACUUGGGUAGGUCACCCAUUACAAUGAGACCCUUCUUUGUAUUUUUCCACCUAGGUAGGUCACCCAUUACAAUGAGACCACUUCUAAAAAAAAAUCAAUCAAAAAACAAAAACAAAAAGAAAGAAAAAGGGGAAGGGUUUUCACAAUUAUUCUUCUUUACAAAACUUACUAUACAAAGUCAAAAGAAAAUAAGUUUUCUAAUGCCUUUGCAUUGUAAGCAUUGUAAAGAGGGGGCAACUGUUGUAACCCAAUUUUGACCCAUUGGUUUUCAAUUUAAUUUUUACGGGGUUUAAAAUGUAAAAUUAAAAAAAGGGUGAUUUGUCAGCUUGUACAGAAACUAGGGACUACAAUGUACUUUUGUCAUUCUAUCCUUAGCUUCAAGAUAAUCUUUACCUUCAAGAUAAUGAUAGUUGUAUGCUUUUGAAUUCGAUUCUAAUUCGAACUUCAAAAAAGAGAAUGAGUUUGAUUGAGACUUUACUUCUCGCAAGUGAUGAGACUCUUGCACUAUAAAUACUGAUCUCAGUGUAUGCAGAAAAAGAGGAGGAUGAUUAGAGAGAAACCCUAAAAGAGAAAACCCGAGAAGAAGGCCAUUACGAGAAACCUACAAAAAAAAUAAAAAAAAACAUUUACAAAAAAAGAGGGGGCGCGGCCGAAUCCUAGACUAGCCUCCGCCGCCCCCUCCCCCCAACUUUUACCUCUCUUCUUCCUUGGUCUCAAACCAGCCAUACAUUCCCCCUCCUCGGCAUUUUCCUUUUUCUUCCUUCCCUCCCCGCCAACCAUCUCCCAAACCAACCCUCUCUCAGCCUCACCCCAUCAGCAGCUCUCUUUCUUCCUCAGCCAUUUACCAAUGGCAACGGAGAAUCAGCACCCGAAAACCCAAUGGUUCCAGCCACAGGCAGCUGCAAAACAGAGACAGGUUUUUCUCUGAACUCAGCUGCAACAACAACCCCUUCUCUUCGGUCCAGCAUUUAGAGCAACACCAAUAUCGCAGCGCAAUAACAACAAACAGCGUCGCCUCCUCCUCUCAUCAUUCAGCUUCCUCCUCACGUCCAGCCACCACACCAAAGUCUUGUGAUGUAGUUUCUUGUCCUCCAGCGGUGCAGCUUUUUCUUCCAUAGACACGGUGAGCUCUGGAAAGCAAUAGUAGCUCCUUCUCCUUCUGCACCCGCGACGUCCACACCAGUAGACUCGCUGUGCAACUUCUCCUUCGCUAGAAGGAACCUCGCGUCUUCAUCAACACAGUAACAGUGGCGGAAGAUCUUCCUUCCAGCAGAAAAAGCAGCACCUUCUUCUCCAGCCAUUGACAGCAGGAUAUUCUUCCAGCUUCUAUUAAAGCAACAGCGGAAACUCUCCUUCAUGACAGCAGCUUGUCCACGCCGUGAGCAGCAGGCCGGAUCUUCAACUGAGAGCAGCGCCAGACCGUCUCCCUCAGCUGCGCCUCCAAGUCGCAGCAACGCUAGGUGAGUUCUCCUUCUUUCCCUGUUUGCUAAAAUUAAUUAGCAUAUUACUGUUGCUUGCAUGCGUGAAUUGUUCACGCAUGCAUGCAACAGUGGCCACACCAUAUCACUGGUUUGGACUAGUGACUAAACCCUUUUUUUUUUUAGUUUUGAGACCGGGUUACAUAAAUAAAAUGAGAAAAAAAAAAAAAAAUUCAUUUCUUUUAAUACAGAAUUUUACGGAUUUAUUUAUUGGCGCCAGAGUCAGGAAUAUCGUACCUUUUGAGUUACACAAUAUUUACCAACGCCAGAGUUGGAAAUAUUCGUAGGCGAAUAUUCACUGACAUCAGAGUCGGGAAUGUUACAGGAUGAUCAUAAGAACAUAACACAAACAAAACCUUUAGCAAUUUUAGACAAAACUAGCAAUGCACCGUCUCAGGUAGGACGCUUAGGGGGUGAUAACAUCUUCCCUUUCGCGUAACCAGUCCCGUACCAUAGAAUCUCUGUUGACCAAUUAGGGUUCCUAGUUACCAUAAUACUAGGUGGUGACUCCUUGAACUAGACCGUUUCCCCCAAAGAACAAGAUGUCAAAUAUCUGUUCUUUUUCCAAUCGAGAUUAAUUUUUUAACGGGUCGCCGCGAUGUCCGGGUGUGACACCAAGUUAAGAAUAAUUUGGAGGCUUAACCUAUUGGUUAGCCAAUCUUUUCUAUAUAUGUGUGUGUGUGGGGGGGGGCAAUAUACAAUAGUAAUAGUAGAGAUUAUAAUAUAAAAGUAUGCCUAUAAUAUUUCCUAUGUAGGUACAUUCUAUAAUAGUAUUUAUCUUGCUGGAAAUAUGGAAUUAUCACAAGGGUUUCCAGACCAAAACUCAUGUCUUGACAAACCAUAAAGUUGGAUACACUAUCAUGACUUUGGCGAUGGAAAGGGAGAAAGAGAUGAAUAAAAUGCAUAUUGGUUGGCAACUUCAACAGAAAAACUAAAACAUGUCUUGAUGCUAUGGUGGUAUAAAGUUCCAUGCAAGAGCGGGGUUAUUGUCAGUUUAAUAAAUGAAAAAUGUCUGCCUGAAUUUUGCAGUUUAAUGGCAAGGAAUUAAGUUGGCAAGACGUCUUGCACAAGCAAGGAUCCUGCAACAUUAAUCUCCUCAUUCACCUAAUCAGAAAGGCUGCCUUUUUUUCUUUUUUCUUUUUUGUAAUGUCAUCCACUAUUCAUACAAGGACGUAUCUUUAUUGACAAUUACAGCUUCCAAUGCUUACCAAAAUGCAAAACACAAAGGUAUCCCUACGUUAAAAAAUGACUUUUUAUUGUAUAUUUGAAAUUUUUGUUGGUACGAGUCUCUAAUGUUAAUUCUAGUUUAUCGUCGGUAAGCAUUAUUAUUAUUAUUAUUAUUAUUAUUAUUAUUUUCUCUCCUAAAAAUUAUAGUUUAGCUCUCUUUGUUGUUGGUAUUUCAACUUCAGUCCUUAUUAUUUUGAUUUUUAAUUUUUUAUCUUGCUUCUUUUAUAGAAAUUUUAUUUGUUUUCAGUUUUAUCAUUUAAUUUUAAUUUAUAAAAUAUUAUAUUCUCCAAUUUUAUCACUACGCCAUUAUACAGUUUUACCGACGGAUUAAUUCCGUCGGUAUAAGGAACACAAACCGUCGGUAAAAUUAUUACCGAUGGUAUCUUCGACAGAUUUAUUCCGUCGGAGUCAUGAGCGUCGGUAAUUCUAAUUCCGUCGCCAUUUCUGUCGGUAAUAAAAAAAACAAUACCGACGGAAUUACAGACGGAUCAACGUGCCAAAAAAAAAAUUCCCGCCACCAAGUUACCGACAGAAUAUUUUCGUCUGUAAAAUUCAACGGUAAUUACCGACGGAUAUUCCGUCGGUAAAAGACACGGUAAUUCUGACGGAAUUUCCGUCGGUGAUUGUGGCACGGCCAUAAAUAUUGUAAAUGAUACUACAAUACCGACGGACACAUUCUCUCUGUAAAUCCGUCGGUAUAAAUUUAAAAUAUUUUUUUAAAAAUUAUUUAUUAACAGUUAAAAAACUUAUAACCAAAUAAAUUUUCAUUAGACAUUAAAAAUGUAAAAUUAAUGUUAAAUAAUAUUCAUCAAAAUAUUCAUUACAAAUUUAAUGUUUUAAAAAAACAAAAUUAAACUAAUUAAAAUAGCGGCGGAGCUGGAGGAGGAGGAGGAGGAGGCUGGUUGUUGCCGGAACCGUACGGCCAAAAAGAAGCAGCACAUGGAUCAUCACCCAUCUUUGAUCUAAUCUCCAUGACCAUUUGAUUGAGCUGAGCAUAAUCCGUCGAGAGGCGUUCAUAUUGUUGUUUCAAGGCUAAAAACUCCUUUGACUGGGUGCUCGAUACUGAUGGAGAGCUCCCAACGGUUGAGACACUACGGGCCGACCGUAAUUUUUCGGCCGUCGUGUUGGAGAGCCCGUAGACCCGAUUUUUAUCGGGUCCACCAAACGAUCCGACCUCCAUCCACAAAUCCGGAUCGAAAUUUGGUUGGGUCAAAGGAUCGUCCCCAUAUCUCUCUCUCAACCGGCUAUUAUAGGUCUCCUGAAUUUUUUUUUUUAAAAAAUCAUCAUAUUCAAUUCAAGAAAAUAAUAACUUACGAAAUAAUUUGAUUGAUCGAACAUACCACAAAAUGCUGAGCACAGUUGUCCACGUACUGCUGCACCCCCUUUUGGCGGUCUUGACUCCGCACGUGCGUCUCUACAAAUAGCUCCAUUGGACUCGGCUCACGUCCAAGAGACGUAGCCUGUAAGGAAAAAAAAGAUUGCAAGUAAAUAUAUUUAUAAGCAACAACAAAUUAAUUAACGAUAUAUUUCAUUUAAAAUAAUCUUACCAUCUGCUUCGCAUGUGCGCUGAAUGGGAUGGAGCCGCCAGUGUGCGUGGUCACCGAACCAUGAAUUUCUCGGUUCUGGUUGAUGGCUCCGGAUUGUGAGCGCUGUGAGAACCGAUCAGAUGUCACGUGCUCAAUAUAUGCCGCCCAUAUAUCUCCCGAGAUGAAUGGCGGUUUAAAUUCCCGCCAAACUGCCACCUCAUUCCAGCCUUCAAGACCGUUGUACCUCGCAUAUCUUUUCGUCUUUUUUCACUACAAGAUUUAACAGUUUUACCGACGGAAUUUUUCCGUCGGUGUAAGACACAUAUUCCAUCGGUAAUUAUAUUACCGACGGAAUCAAAGACGGAAAUGAUCCGUCGGUGAAUCGUUCGUCGGUAAUGUUUUGUCCGUCGGUAAAUCCGUUGGUAAUAGAAUUACCGACGGAUUUACUGACAGAACAGACACGUCGGUAAUAAUUUUUUUAUUACCAACGGAAUUACCGAGGGAUUUACCGACGGAAUUACCAACGGAAUUACCGACGGAAUUUUCGUCGGCAAUUCCGUCAGUAAUUAUUGAAAAACAUUUUAAAAAAAAUUCAGUUUAUAAAAUUAUAAAAUAAUUAAAUUAACAUAAAUUAACACUGUAUAAUAUAUACUCAAAAUGCUUGGAAAAAAGAAUAAGAAAAUCAAUUCAAACAAAUUUGCAACAAAUAAAUAAAAUAAAAAAAUAAAUUUAACUAAAAAAUUAAUUCAUAUGAAAAAAAUGAAGUUGCAAUUGCUAAAUAUUUAAAAAUCCUAUAAAUAAAGCUACUAAAAAUUGAUCUCAUAUGAAAAAAAAAUCUCACAACAACAUUUAUACAAUUAUUAAGAACAAAAACAAUUAAAAAUAAAAUAAAAAAAAAUAUAGUGAAACAAAUCAUGAAAAAAGAAGAAAAAAGAAAAAUCUUACCUUAAUGUAGUUGCAAGUGAAGCUAAGGAGUGAAAAAAAAUUUCAUUAAGCAUAUUAAUAAAAAAAAAAACUAAGAGGAUAAAAGAAGAAAGAAAAAGAAGACAUACCCAAGCAUGGAGGAAAAGAGAAGGAGAUAAGGAGAGAAAAGAAGAGAAAGAAAUAGAUAAGAAAUGAUGUUUUUUACAUAAAGUGAAGAAGAAGAAGACAUACCUUAAUGAUGUUUUUUACAUAUAGUGAAGAAGAAGAAGAAGAAGAAGAAGAAGAACAAGAAGAAGAAGAAUAAUAAGAAACGGGUCUAUCUCUUGUGAAAUAAGGGCAUUCAGGCUUUUUAUUGGGACGCUUUACCGACGGAUAAGUAAAUAUUAAUAUUUUUUAAUUAUUCCGUCGGUAAUAUUUAAUUUAAAUUUUUAAUUUCGUAAAUUUUUUUCAGAAACCGCCAAAAAAUUACCGACGAUUUUUCAAUCCGUCGGUGAUUCCGUCUGUAAUAUUUAAAUGAAAAUUUUAAAUUAAUUGAAUUUUUUCAGAAAACCGCCAAAUAACACCAACGACUUUUCAAUCCGUCGGUGAUUUACUCUCUGGAAAAUACCGACGGAAUUUUCCGUCGGUGAUUCCCUUUGUAAUUAACAUGAUGAACAGUGUUCACAAUUUACCAACAAAUUUACAAACAGAAUCACCGACGGAACAAAUUCCGUCGGUAAAAAUGACACGUCAUCAUUUUUUUUUGUUUUGUUUUAAUUUUUUUUCCCUCGGUAAUUCCCUCGGUAUAUACCGAGGGAAUAUUUCCGUCGGUAAAAUCCCUCGAAAAUUUACCGACGAAAAUAUUCCCUCGGUAUUUCCGUUUGUAUUUAUCAAUUUUCUGGUAGUGUUUUUAGUGUCAUAUCAAAAAUCACGCAACCUACAUCCAUAGUAACUAAUUAGAAUUUAGAACAUAAAAUUAUAAAUAAAAAAUAAAUACUAUUUUCGAUGUUACCUAGUUGCUGCGUGAUUCUCCCAUACUCUCCUGACAACAUUGUUGUCCGUGCUAUCCCACUCAAAUUUAUUCUGUAUAUAUAAAUAAAUCAUUGAAAAUAAAAAUAGUACAAGAUAUAAAAUUACAAAAAUUAUUUAUUAAAAAUAAACUGGAAAUUAAAAAUUAACACCUACCUGAAAUCGCCGAAACCAGGCAUCGAUAUUAGGUCUCCACUCAGGAUGUCUGGAGACCUGACUCCAUUGAAACAAUGGAAUCUCCAUCGACGAUUUCAUAACCAAUGUAAUUGUCCUGGCAGCCUCAAUAUUUGUGAACCUGAAAUUAAAUAAUAAAAAAUUAAUUAUUUGUUCAUAAAUUAUGUUAUAAGUAUUAAAAAAAACUAAAACCUAAACAAACUUACAUUGAGAGGUCAUCCUUCCAUUGUGCCUGGUACUUGCGGGUGAAUUGACCCCGCUGUGAAGGCACGCCGCUUCUGCGCUGUGAAACCGCGGUAGAAGAGGAAGCAUCACACGGUGGCGCAGAAGCAUCACCGUGAUCAGCACCUAAGGAGAUGUCCUCCUCGCUGCUAGAAGAACUAUGUGCAACCAUCUGCUGACGACGUGCUGUAGAUUUCAUUCGACGCAUCUACACAAAUGUAUAUGAAUUAUUACAUAAAUUAACUUUAAUUAUUUUAAAAAAAAUUCAGCAGCACCUCCUUUAUACUAGAGACUACCCACAGUUUUCAAACCUGCAAUAUUUACAAUAACCACAAUCCAUAUAAUCUCCAUCAACAUCAUAUAUACAACCUAAUAUCAUUAGGAAUUCAAUCAUUAAUAAAAAUUUGGCAGCACCUCCCCUAUAUUAGAGACAACCCACAGUUUUCAAACCUGCAAUCUUUACAAUAACCACAAUCCAUAUAAUCUCCAUCAACAUCAUAUAUACAACCUAAUAUCUAUACCAAUUCAACAAUAACAAUUAUUCCAAUACAAACAAUAAUAUCCUAAAAUUAAUAUAAACUAAUUAAAUUUAAUUCUAUAUUUCAAUUCACAUUUAUAACAUAAAUUCAACAAUAACAAUUAUUCCAAUACAAACAUAAUAUCCUAAAAUUAAUAUAAACUAAUUAAAUUUAAUUCUAUAUUUCAAUAACACUAAACAAAACAUCCUAAAUACAAAACAAACAAUACACAAAACUAAAAAAACAAUACAUUAAUUCAAAAAAAAAUUUGGAAUAAAAAAUGCUUACCUUAAUAGUGUUGAUUUUUAGAUUUUAUUUAUAAAAAUACACAAAACAAAGAACACCAAAAAAAUAAUGAUAAUUAAAAUAAAAAAAAUACAAAGUUAAAGAAAAACCAUUACAUAACUUUUAAUAUGUUGAAAACUACCAGCAAAACAAUCAAAUCUCUUCCAAAACUUAAACUAAAAACCGAGAGGAGAAGAAAUAGAGAUGAGAGCCAAGAGAAAAAAGAACCAAAUGAGGGGGGGGGGGGAGGGGGGGUUUUAUAUGCCAAUAUUUCUGGUGGCAUUAAUUUCCGUCGGUAAUUCCGACGGGAAAUAAAUUGAAAUGCGCACCAAAAAUUUCAAAAAUGCCGCCUUUUGUUUUUAUCCGUCGGUAAUUCUGUCGGAAAUUACCGUUGAAAAUUGUACCGCUGACAAUUCCGUCAGUAAUAGUGCCUCUGACAGGCGUGCGCUUCGGGAUGUGUGAUUUCCGUCGGUGAUUCCAUCGGUGAUUUCCGUCGGAAAUUGUGGCACAAGCCCGUAAUUUUUUUCGAACUCUCUGUGAAAUACCGACGGCACUAUUCCGUCGGUGUUACCGUCAGUAAAACAGUCAAUAUUUAUGCGGCUUUUACAUGAAUUUUCUUCUAUCCUCCUGCACACUUAGAUCACACACAGCAUAAUAACAAGAGCUGACAAUUAAAAAAGAAUAAAUAUUUCAUGUUCCAAAAUAUUACGUUAUAAAAAUAAGGUUUUACAACAUGUUUAGUCAGAAUUUUCAUCUUCGUCCUCAAUUGAAUUGUUAUCAUCCGCUUUAUCGUGCUCUUUAAUGUGGUUAUCAUCUUCUUCAUCAACAUUCUGUACUGCACUAGUAGAGCUCAAAACGACAUUCAACUCCUCUGCGUUAACAUCAACAAGACUAUCAUCGAAAACAUGAAAAUUUGAAUUUUCUUCUAAGUCAAUCAAAGGAGCAACUCGGUAUGGUUCAUCCAACUCACUAGCUUGAAAGACUUCAUCUAUCACACUUGUGUCUUCGUUCUCAUCCUGAACAACCUCGACACGACCCCUGGGUUUUGUUUUUAAAACGGAUAACCAAUCAACUCUUGAUCGGUCCCUUCUAAAGGAAGGGGUGUAUGUGUAAUAAACUUGUUGGCAUUGCUUUGCGAAAACAAAGACGUCGUUUACGUUGCGGUGUUUAGCUUUUGAGUUGAUUUCAACGAGACCAUAGUGAGGAUCUACUCUGAUUCCUCUGUCAGUUGUGUCAUACCAAUAGCAUUUGAAUAACAAGCUUAGUCCAAGGGUCCCCAGCGGAGUCGCCAUCCUGUCGCACCCUCCCGAGAGCUCGACGUCGCGGCGACACUUCCUCCGUAGCGGGGAUUCGAUGUUGGGGUCUUUCUGUUGUGAAAAAGGGAGUCGCCACCUAGUAUUAUGGUCACUAGGAAACCUAAUUGGUCUUUCAGAGAUUCUAAGGCAAGGGACUGGUUGCGUAAAGGGAAGGUUUUAGCACCCUAGUACGCCCUACCUAAGGUAAGCUGCUUGGUGUUUGAUUUGCCUUAUAAUUGUUAUGGUGUUGAUGUUCUCUAAUCCCAUCAGUUUCCUAGGAUAAGUCUGCUCUGAUGAACGAAAUCUAGGGUGCUUUAAAAACCUAUUUUUUGUCUCGUAAACCGUGGAGUAAAAAAAUUGAAAUGUCCUCGAUUAUAAUCAAGGCUUCUUUCAAGGAUUUAUGCGGAUUUAUUAUUCCUAGAAAAUUAUUUUGGAUAUUUACCACUCCGGGUUUCUUUAUCCAAAUAUUAACAGUGAAUAAUAACAAAUUAUUCCCAAUAAUAUUUUGGAUAUUCAUCCUUUAAAGAUUUCUUUAUCCAAACAUUAGCGGUGAAUAAUAGAUGAAUUCCCCCCAAAAUAAGAUUUUUAUAUUUUUUUGGAAUAUUGGCCAAUACCCUUUGGAGUUUUACAAACAUGUUGUAAAAUCCAGAAAUGCAAGAAAAAUGAUUUUUGUUGUGUUUAAGAAAUCCAUGCGAAAACACAUUUUCAAAGCUUCAAAUAUUUGUUUUUUAUAUAUAAAAAAAACAUAAAAACAAUGUUAGGGUAUUGGCCGUAUGCAGGAAAACAAAACAUUUUUUAUUUUAUAUUUUUUUGAUGUCUCGACGAAAAUCGGGUAUUUUCAUACCGGACUUGUAUCUUUAUAGUACAAAAAUACAACCUUGCAGAAAAUCACAGAUUUUUUAAAUACAUCUUUGAAGAAAACUUUUUGAAUGGGCCAGACCUGGCCCAAAAGGAAAAUGGGCCGAAAUCAGCCCAAAAAUAAAAUGGGCCUACUUUCUACAGGGCUGGACUCAGCCCAGCCCAAACCACAUGACUGGUAACAGUGUACUGUUCCUCUGCACAGUAACACGUUAAUUAAUUUUCCACACAUGCACAGUACCCCCAAACUGCACAUGCACAGUACCCCAAACUGCAUGCAAGGACCACGUUACUGUUCAAGUGAAUUAUAUUUCACUCGAACAGUGCAAACACAAAGCAAAAAAAGCACGGUGCGGGAGGUUAUAGUUUAAUCAAUGCUGGAAGUCUGAAACAAGUCUGCUCAUUACUCUAAAAAAACAAUUCCGCAGGCACCAAAAACAACAAAGUCCUGAAACUGAAACCUAUAACAGAAGCCAUGCAUUUCUACAAGAAACAGAGGGAAAAAAAUGAAACCAGAACCUGCAAAAACAAAGUCCCCUUAAUUAAAAGGACACUCCCUCACGUUUUUUCACUCUUUCUUAUGUACCUAUAAGCCGUAACUACUCCUAUGUAACGUUCCAAUUGCACAGAGACGCUCCAACCAAAGGAAAGCAGGGGUGACAAAGACCUUUACAACCUACGGUCUCUCAGGCAAUAGAACUGGAAAGCCAAACCAGCCUCUUAACUCACAGUCUAAACACGGCAUGACCCAUCAUUUUCGACAAAGAGGAGCAGGUCAUAUACACAUGGAAGCUGAACAUUUGAAAGCCAAACUUAAUACAGAAAACAUUGUUCACGCCUACCCUUUUUCUAAUCUCUGAUAUUGCCAUGGUUUGUUUUAUCCAAGAAUGAAAGAACCGAAAGAGCAUGCUUUUCAUCAUGUAUAUCGAAGACGUUAAACAGAAACAACAAAUCAAAUGGCCAACUAUCUCUCUUUCGAAAAAAAACAGGAAGGAAAACACACUCCAGAACCAGCCGAAACAUCACCUCAACUGAAGGGGGCCCUCUCUUGUUUUUCUUUCUAAAUGAGUCACCGUAUGAGUAACCAGCAGAAAAAACGCAGCUCUAACAUAAAUAACAAGCUAAACUCAAAGGCAUGGGAGGAACAGUGGGCAAGCAUACAACUUUGUCGCUGAGAUGGAAAAUGAACGUCCCAAACAGAAGCAGAAAACAGAUUUUGCAAAGAAAAAAAAAGACCAACCAAAUAGCUUUACAUAUGUUAAAGAAAAAGAAAGUCAAGACUCAUACCUGCGGGUCCUGCACGUUUAAAUGCAGAAAAUGAGAUACAACUGGUGGACAAGCUUCUGCCUUUUUAAUUACCUCUGAUAACCAAAGCAAGCCUUCCUCUCUUUUGUCGUUGGGAACUUUUCAAAAACCUCAUAGAGUCUUUGCAAGCCCCGGUUCGACAAGGUAGGAUAGACUCAAGGUAAUCUCCUCCCGUUCUCCUAUCCUCAGCCUCCUCCUGGUUCUCUCGGUUUUUUUCUUUCUAUUCUUUUCUCUCUCUUUUCUUUCUUCCCUACUGUCUUCUAUUCACAACUGCUCUCCUCUUCCUCCUCCCUCUCCCCAAAAAAAAAAACCAGCCCCCGUAGCUGCUAAUAACAGUAUAUAUAUAGGUGAAGGGGGAGCGGGGCAGCAGCAUGCGCAUGGGGAGCAGGGGACACCAAGCCAGGGCAGCCUGCGCUGCUCCCACGCCUGCGCUGCUCCCACUCCUGCAGCUGCUCCCACGCCUGCAGCUGCUCUCACGCCUGCGCUGCUCCCACGCCUGCAGUUGCUCCCCACUCUUGAGGGUAUCGGGCAGCGGCAUGCACAUGGGAGGAACAAUGUCUCAAAAUGACACUGUUUCGGGUUCUGCUCUCUUUUUAUAUAUAAUUAAUAUUGUAUUUGCAGGUAGCCAAAAACAUGCGGCAGAAAUUUCACUUUCUCAUUAGAUAUUCAAACAUGCAUAUCUUGAGUUUCUGAUAUCGAAAUCCAGCGAUUCAAAAGCUAAAAUUUAUCUAUGUGUGUAGGACUACAACUUUCACGAAGGAUUCAAGGUGAGAUAUAAUCGUUUUACCGGACAGAAUCGGGCCGCAAAACUGGUCGGUAAAAAUGGUCUCCUGAUCCGAUUCAAAAACUGACGAAUGUCGAGCAUCCCGAUAUGACUGAGAGUAUCCUAAGAAUGAACCAGAAAAAUCGUGAUGGCAGCAGAAAUUUCAGUGCAAAACUUGAGUCAAAAUCCUGCUCGCGGCAGAAUUCUCUACUUUCACGUCAGAUAUUCAAACAGGAAUAUCUCGAGCUCCUGAUAUCGAAAUCAAGCGAUUCGAAAGGCUAAAUUCACCUAUGCGUCCAGGACUACGACUUUCACGAAGGAUUCCAGGUGAGCUAUAAUCGUUUUAUAGGAUAGAAACGGGCCGCAAUCUGGUUGGUCAAAAAGGGUCUCCCGAUCUAAAUUCAGGAAAUUGACAAUGCCAAGCAUCCUAGUUCGACUGAGAGUCUGCCAUAAGAACAGUGAGCUCUAGGACCCACUAAAGGUGUAGGUCCAUUUUUCAACAUGUCAUGAGUGACAGAAUAUAGCUGGGAUGGUCAGAUAUUGCACGAAACCAAGUCAGAAACAGGGCCUAAGUUGGAACAAAAAAGAUUGUGGCAGCAGCAGAACCAGGUUUUUUGAUUUCCACUUUUGAGGGAUUUAUUCACCCUUAAAGACCCUAUAAAAAAGGAAUGAAUUUGGCAUUAUGAAGACUUCUGAUCAGUCUAAGAAAACCUGAUGAUUUUGGCAGCAAAGGGGAAGGAUAAAAAGAACAGAAAACAGCUCAAACAGAGUUUUCAAAAAAAAUAUUUCUUUCAUUUGCUUUUGUCAAUCUUCUGGCGAAUAUAAGCUAAACUCCUAUACUCUGUUCAAAAGAGGUAUACACCGUCUCCAGCACGUGAGGUCCAAAAUGGAGUAACAACAAGUUCCAUGACCUCUUCCAAUCUACCGUAGUAGUCAACUUCAAACUCACUAGAAGUCGAUCCCUUAAUACAAACACCGUUGUUGUAUGUCUUUCUUCCAUGCCCAUAUUCUUCAAUAUGAAAGAUAUAUCCAUUGACAAAAUACCCGUUAUAGCACUUGACUUUUCUUUCAGGGCCCAGGCUUAGUAAAGACAGUGAAAUAGUAGCACUAACUUCCAUUUGAUAAACCUUGUAUAUUAAAUACAACAAUAAUCAAUAAACAAAUAUUAUGUAAUAUAUAUUUACGUACAGUGAAUUUCAUUGCAAGAGAUUAUGAGUUUGUGAUAGGACUUACAUGUGUUCUAAACCAUGUGGCAAAUUGUUCAUUUUGUAAUUGAAAGAUCUGGGAUUCGGUCAGCUAUGAGUUAUUGGACAGUAAGUAUCUUCGAUGUUGCCUGCAAGGUUGUUUCAAAUUAUAUGAGUUUAUGGUAUCACAAAACAUAAAUAGUACACUCUUGACAAAGUUUAUGUCGAACAUCUACUUACUUAAUAAAAAGUCUCAGCUCAUCACAGUUAAAUAGGAUAUCAUUGUGUGCUUGUCUGAACUCUAUUUUAGACAAAUAUCUUCCCCUCACUGCAUUUUUAGGUGUGGGUCGUCCAGGAUUAGAGAAUAUUGACAAGUUCCCACUUAAAGGCACUUCACCACCAUCAUCAUGCCGUGGAACACGGUUGAUCCUCGUUCUCAAAUGAGGUUCGAAAUAGUAUGAGAUAAAUGAACAAUAUAGGCCUCAUAUAUUGACGCCUCAACAUGCGCCUUGUUCUUAACCUUUUUUUAAGAUUGAACAAGUACCUGCAUAAGUACCUGCAUAUGUGUGUGUGUAUAUAUAUAUAUAUAUAUAUAUAUAAUUAAUCAAAAAUUAUAAAUAAAAAAAAACAAAAAAAAACAUUUAAUUAUGAAUUACAUAGCAACUGUAAUAUCUAAUCCUGCAUAUAAUUUGAUAAAAUCUAAAACAAACUAUAACAACUACAAAAUUAUACAUUCAUACAACAAGUUUCUUUAACAAAAUACAUAUACUAAAAAAACAAUAAAAUUCACAUUUAAAAGUUAAAACUAAAAAGGAUAGAUUUACUUACAAAAAAUGAUAAAAUCCACAAGAAUUAACGGAUGUUGUGACCACGUACAAAAGUAUAAGAAACUUGAGUGCUAGCUUGUGUUGAGAAGAGGGGAGAGUUGAGAUGGGUGGUUGGCUGCAGUUUGGGAGGGGACAGGUGGGAUGGGGAAGAAGAAGGGGAAGAAGAAGGACAAACAGAGGAAGAGAGAGUGUCGGCAGAGGCAGUAUAUACUGGCGUUUACCGACGGAAUCACCGACGAAAAUAUUCCGUCGGUACCACCGUCGGUGAUUUCGUCGGUGUUAGCGACACGUCCCUGCUUGGCUGUCCGGGUUUGAAUCCCUCGGUAUUUCCGUCGGUAAAUUUUUCUGAAAAAAAUCCACGUCAUCCCGCCGUUGCAAUUUUCAAAAAAACUUUCUCGCCGCCGGUAUAUACCGACGGAAUUAUUCCGUUCGUAUAUACCGGUGGCAUCAUCGAUGGCUAAUUCCGACAGAUUUUGAGACGGAAUUAUUUUCGUCGGUAAAAAUUGCCGACGAAAAAUUUCCGUCGGUAAUUCCGUUGGUGUUAUCCGAUUUUCUAGUAGUGUAUCCUCAUUCUUUUGAUUUUUAAUUUUUUUUCUUGGUUCUUCUGUAAAAUUUUUAUUGGUUUUCAAUUUCAUCCUUCAAUCAACACAUUGUUUUUAUUUUUUAUUUUUUUUCUUGAUCCUGUUGUAAAAGUUAUUAUUCUUUUCAAUUUCACCCUUCAAUCAACACAUUAUUUUUAUUUUUUAUGUUAAUUUUGAUCCUUGUUCUUUUGAUUUUUUUUCCUUUUACUAAAUUGAUUUUUCUUUUUAACUUCACCCUUCAAACAAAUAAGAAACUUAUUUUGUUUUUCAAUUUUGAUCCUCAUUCUUUUAAUUGCUAUUUUCUUGAAUCCUUUUGUAUAUAUAUAUUUUUUAAUUUUAAUAUCCUUUAAUAUUUAAUUGAUUGAGAAUUGCACUCUAUGGUUUUUUAAAUUGGAAGCUUUGGUUCUAAUGAUUCGGGUCUCGAGUUUAAAAAGUUAAUAUGAUAUUUUUUUAAAAAAAAAGGGCUUUCUAAUCCUUUUUAUUUUUAUCGGGUUAUUUGAAUCUCUUAAUCUGGGUUACGGGUUUGGCAGGAUAUCUUAGGUUGACUUGGUCCUGAUUACCAGUGUUACAUGUUUGGUAUGCUAACUGGGUUAACCAAGAUAUUUUUUUUGUCAUUUUUUACCCUGUUUUGUUCUUCUAUAUUUAAUUGGUUGUGGAUCAAUCUAUUAUCCUUUUCUUUUUAUUUUGUCUAAUUGAAUUUAAGUAAGCUUAUUCGACCUAGCUUAAAAAAAAAACAUUUGCGACAACUGAACAUUGUUUUUUGUGAAAAAAAUAGUUCGGACCUACAACAAACCGUGGACACCGAGGCUAGUCUAUCCCAAAAAUAUUGAAUCAUUGAUUCUAUCAUAAAUACAAUAUUAUGGAGAAAAUAAUUUGUAACAAUCAUCAAUUAAUUUUAGAAGAAAAGAGGGACAUGAAAAAUUUAAAAGAAAAUCUAACAAUAUAAGAAAAUAAUUUUAAUAUCAUAACAACAAUAAAAAAAAGAAGUAGAUUGGAAGGAGAGAGAUGGAAGGGAACAUAUAAUGGAUAGAUAGUGGAAGAUAAAUGGGAGAAAAUAUUGGAAGGGUUGGGGGUGUAUUAGAGAAUAAUAUAAAUUAUAUCUUGCAACCUCACCUAACAAGUUAAGCUAUUAGGUUGAAAUGGUUCUUUGACAUAGUAUCAGAUUCUUGAUGACCAAGUGAUCAUGAGUUUAAAUCUCAUCAUCUCUAUUUAUUUUAUAAAAAUCAAGCAUAAAGUGAUGUGGACUUGUACAAGUUUCAAGCUCAAAGGACCUUUACUUGAGGGUGUGUGUUAGAGAAUAAUAUAAAUAUUUUGAAACCUCAUCAAUUUAAGCUAUUAGGUUGAAAUGAUUCUUUGACAGGACAAACAUUUUGCAUUUACCAAUGGAAUAAUUAUUUUUAAUAAUAAAAAAAGAGUUUUUUUAUAGAAUUACCAAGGAAAAUUAAUUUUGUCGGCAAUUGAUUAGAAAUAGUUGAACAUAUUAACAAAUAAUAAUAAAUUAUUUUUUCAUCAUUAUUUAACAGUGCAAACCAAUUUCUCACUAAUUAUAUUGAUAAUAGUUUUUUGAAGCUAAUUCCCGUAGUAAGUAGCAACAAUUAAAUUUGUCUUUGAAUAACUUAUUUGUAGUGAAGAGUUUCCUUCAAACAGUUUAAGUAUUCUGAUAAUGGAUUAAUUCUUAAUCUUUUAAACUUCUUUGUGUUCCGGUAUUUAUUUCAACUGAGUUUCCAUUAUCAUAUUGAUUUUAAUAUUUGAAUUUUGUUUCAUAGAAAGACUUGAAUGUUAUUAUGGAUGAUCUAUUUUAAUUAAUCUUUUGUAUUACUUUUCUAUUUAAGAGAAAAUAAGAUAUAUUAUUGCUCAAUAUUAACUGUGCACGGCAAGAAAAAUAGUUCACUACAUAUCUCUUUUAUAACACUAAUAAUGGUGCUAGCUUAUUACUUUUAUUUAUUUAUUUAAUGGGUGAUCCAAUGGUUCUUAAGCUAAAUAAUUGAAAUUAUAGUCAUUAAAAGUCAAACCUCGUUUCACUUGAGAAAUUAAGUUAUUGGAUAUACAACCUUUGUAAUUGAGCUUGUUAAUUUACACUUGGGAAAAAAAACCAGAAAAAUAGUAUUUGGGGUUCCAAUUGGAUAAUCUAUGAUUAUUUAGGUAAAAACAUGUAUUUUAUAUAAAAUAAACUUUACGCUGGAGGGUUCAAUUGCAAAAUUUUAGAGCUAAAAUGUAUUUUUUUUUUUUUUUUUUUAAGUUUGAGGUAUCAUGGAUCCAACUAUUCAACAUAGUUCUGACCCUAUUCCCUGUGCAUGGUGGUCAAAUUAUAACAUCUUCUUUGACCUUUCUGGAAUUGGGAUGCCCCUGCCGGCAUGCAAACGCCAGCCAUUUUUACUGACCCCAAAUCACCACGUUAUGACCCACUUCGCGACCCGGAUCACCAACCUCCAACUUUGCUUGAUCUUAAUUACACGAAAAGGAGAUCCCAAUCCAGACCCUACAAAAGCAGAGGAAUUGUUUGCAAGCAAUCUUAACGUAAUGUAUAGGCAAAUGAUGUCCGGUGCCACGAAGCCUAUAUCGUGCUUGUGACGAUCCAAGUCCUGGAAUGGGUACAAUUGAGACGACGCCACACACUGAGAUUCACUACUGGACCGGCGACCCCAAUCAACUUAAACGGGAAAAUAUGGACAAUUUCUACUCAGCAGGGAGAGAUCCCAUAUUUUAUUGUCAUCACUCAGAACGUUAACCGAAUGUGAUACUUAUGCAAGAAAAACCCGGAGGCAAGCGAUAAGAUAUCGAGGAUCCUGAUUGGCUUAAUUCAGAGUUUCUUUUCUGGGAUGAGAAUGAAGAGCUGGUUCGAGUAAAGGUUAAAGAUACUCUUGACACCAAGAAGCUAAGAUAUGGCUUUCAAGAUGUUCCUUUUCCUUGGCUGAAAACUAGACCAACACCAAAAUUAACAAGGCAGGAAAAAUCACGCCGUGCAGUGCAUUCCCUGUUGUCUUGGAUAAAGUCGCAAGUGUGGAGGUUUCCAGGUCAACGAAAUCAAGAACUGCAACGGUGAAAGAAGAUGAAGAUGAAGUUUUAGUUAUUGAAGUGAUUGAGUAUGAAGAAAAUCAAUUAAUUAAGUUCAAUGUCCUCGUCAAAGAUGAGCCUGGUUCAUCUGGUGGACCAAACAAGUCCGAGUUUGCAAGAAGUUUUGUUAAUAUGCCUCACAAGCAAGCAAAAAAGUCAAAGACAACUUUGGUACCGGGGAUUGCUGGAAGCUGAAGGUGAUGAUACUGAUAAGAGAAUUUAUUACAUGUAUAUUUUCGAUUAUUCUUGUUUUAUUUUGAAAUAUUUCGUAUGUAUUGCACAAGUUAAUUAAGAUUUUGGAUGCUUUUUUGAACUAUUAACCUCUUGGGAAAUUAAUAUGUUUUCAGAUACUAAAUUACUGGAACAGGAAGAAUCUAGAUUUAAAGCCGAGCACUGAUUUGUUUUUGGGUUGUAACGGGAGUUAUACAACUCUGUUUCAGGCGUUCAUCAACAUUUUAAAAAUCUGAGACAUAGAUCUACAAAUCAUAUGAAGAGUAUAGACCUCAGUUUUGCUGAUUUGAAGCCCAAAAAAUAAGUCAAAAGACAAAGUCCUAAUUAGACCCAAACUUUCUGCAAUCUAGUUACCGUGUCAGGUUAUGGCCCAUAUCUCAAGUGUCAGAGCUCCAACAAGAGGAGUUUUAAUUUGCACAUUUUCCACCCCAAAUCUGUUAGGUGAGGUCUCAAGAUAUGAUUUAUAUUAUUCUCUAACACACUCCCUCAAGUGAAAGCCUUUUGGGCUCGAAACUUGCACAUGCCCACUUUACCUUGUGCUUAAUUUUUAUCAAAUAAAUGAGGAUGGUGAAAUUCGAACUCGUGACCACUUGGUCAUCAAGGCUCUGAUACCAUAUUAAAGAACCAUCUCAACCCAAUAGCUUAAGCUGUUAGGUGAGGUCCUAGGAUAUGAUUUAUAUUAUUCUCUAACAGAGGGAAACCAAUGUUCUUUCCAUUCUCAAUAAAGAAAAAAAAAGCGAGAAUAUAGAAAUGUUCUUUUGAGAGCAGCAGCAGCUAGAGCAUGGUACCCUAAAAUACAUAAAAAAGAAGAGAAUAGUAGCAUGAAGAAUAGACGAGAAUAGAGUAAAACAGAGGAGGAAAAAUCAGAACAGAUUGAAAGACGUCCAGCAACUCUACUGCCAACCCCUACUUUUAAGUGAUGUUCAUUGUAUCAAGUUUAUAAUUUGGUUAUGGAAUAGAUUUUUAUUUUAGGAUUUUUUUAUGUAACCUAACUAUGAAUAUGUGAACAAUUUCUUUGAUUGAAUUAAUACACUAGUCGUUGAGUGUUUCAUUAUAUGCUUAAGGCUUGUGUAUGUUUGGCCAACAUUUGCAUGAUUUAGGAUUCAAUUGAGACUGAGAAGUGAUAAUUGUUUUAGCCAUUGUAUGAAAUUCUUUAAGGAAUCUAUAGGAUAAAGAUGUCUUUGGAACUUUUAUAAUCUUUAAAGGUUUUAAGGUACUUAAUAAAUUUUGACAAGUUCAAGAAUUUCGUAGUAGACUAUAUGAAGUUUGCUUAUUGAAAUAUUUCAUUGAUGCUCGAGAGAGAUUAGUGUUUAAAUUAAAAAAACUUGAUUAUCAACACUAAGAAUAAUUAAUUUAAUUGAGAAAAUUUACAUAGAAAUAGUUACGGUAAGUAAAAAAUCCUAGAAUCCAUUAGAAUUGAAUUCAAUACUACUUAAUUAGUUGGUUGUUGCUUUUAAUCAUUAAUUUUUGUUUCGUAAACUAUCACAAUUUAAAAGAUUUUGGUAGUUAGUAGUAAUUUUUACAAAUUCUCGAGGGAUGAUCCUUUACUCAUCAUUUUAUUACUUGUUACAAUUUGUGCACUUGCAAAAUAAAUCAACAAGUUUUUUGCACCGUUGCUGGGGAUUUUAGAUAAAAUUAUUAAUAAUAUAAAUAUGAGUUAAAUUUGAUCUAAUUUAAUUAAUUGUUUCCUUAAGAUUUUUAGGUGCUUGUCUAGUGUAUGAGAAGCAACAAAAAUCUGCUACCAUUGCCUUAUAAUCCUGAAAUUGAGAGAACUACAAAGGAAUUAAGGAAGAAAAAGCUAGAGACUCAGAAUCAUAGUUAUCAGACCCGACUUGGGGGUUGACCCAACCAAGGAGUUGGGUCCCAGAUUACACGGCAGGUCAACUCGAAUCAACUCAAAAAAUUUUAAACAAAAUUUAAGUUUUAAUAUUUCAUAAGAAAAAAUUAAAAAACAAUUCAUGUGAAUAUAGGCUAUAAAAGUUAUAAAUUAGUAAUUUUUAUUACACAUAUACCACUCAUUUGUUUUUAAAUGAAGGGCAUGGUGGAAAUACAACUGAAUACAAGUCAUUUUUUGACCUCACAAAAUUUUUAAUUUAUUCUGCUAUAUAUACACACACACACACACACACACACACACACACAUAUAUAUAUAUAAGAUAAGCCUUAGGAACUGUUUUUUCUUAGGUUUUAAGGAACUGUUUUUUCUUAGGUUUUAAUGUUGCAUUAUUUCGUUGCAUUAUAUGUAUGCAUUGAGCCAUUCUAAAAUGGGUUUUCAACUGAAGUGAAAAAUAAUGAUGAUUGACAAUUUGCAAGUACUUGUCAAUAAGAGUUUCCUAUCACAAUGCUUUUAUGUCUUUCGUCAUAUUACUCUGGUUUUUUUGCCAAAAGGAAGGAAUAUUUGCAUGUAUUAUUGCUCCAAACAGAGGUCUAGAUAGCAGUUAAUGAGAACAAUGAGUUAUAAUUAAAUUCAUACAUCAAUCCAGCCCUUUACUCUAUCGAAAAUAAUGCUUGUUGACUCCCAAAAAUUAUGUCCACAAAACUGUGAGAUUUCAAGAACAAAUUAAUGCCAAUUAAGAAAAUACACAUUUGAAAAAACAAUUUAGGCCGCAAUAUCAAAAUAGAAAAGAAUAUGAGGCAAGGAAGGAAACCAAAGUUCUUUCCAUUCUACACAAAGAUUUAGAAAAAAAAAAACAAGAAUAUAGGGAUGUUUUUUUGAGAGCAGUGACAACCAUAGAGUGGUAGCUUAAAAUACCCCAAAAAGAAGAGAAGAGGGGCAUGCAUGAAGAAUAUACGAGAAUAGAGCAAAAUAGAGGUAGAAAAAUCAGAACAGAUUGGAAGACAUUGAGCAACUCUACUACCAACCCCAGUCUUGAGUGAUAUUUAUCGUUUCAAGUUUGUUUUUCUUUAAUUUAGCUAUGGAGUAGAUUUUUAUUCUGGAAUUUUUUUAUGUAACCUAACUAUGAAUAAGUGAAUAAUUUUUUUGAUUGAAUUAAUACAGUAAUUGUUGAGUGUUUCAUUAUAUGCUUAACACUUGUGUACGUUUGGUCAACGUUUGCAUGAUUUAGGAAUUAAUUUGAGACUAAGUAAUAAUUGUUUUAGCCAUUGUUUGAAAUACCUUAAGGAAUCUAUAAGAUAGAGAUAUCUUUGAUACUUUUGUAAUCCUUAAAGUUUUAAGGUAUUUAAUAAAUUUUGACAAGUUCAAGAAUUUCGUAGAGUUUAAAAAAUUUGCUGGUUGAAAUAUUUCAUUGAUGCAUGAGAGAAAUUAGUAUUUAAAUUAAAAAAACCUGAUUAUUAAUACUAAUAAUAAUUUAUUCAAUUAAGAAAGUUUAUAUAAAAAUAGUUACAUUAAAUAAAAAAUCCUAGAAUCCAUUAAAAUUAAUUAAUUAUUACUUUUAAUCAUAAAAUUAAAUUUAAUAAUACUUAAUUAGUUAAUUAUUACUUUUAAUCAUAAAUUUUUAUUUCAUAAACUAUUUCAAGAAGUUUUUACAAAUUUUGAUGGUGCAAUACUCAUUAUUUUAUUACUUCUGACAUUAAUGCACCCGCAAAAUAAGCCAACGGAUACCCUUGUGGCGACUUUAGUGCCUCGGUCUGCUGGUGAUCUUGUUACCAUUGAUAGCGUCAGGAUUGGGCUCUGCUACCACUUUCUUUUCUUUUGUCCUUUUUGCUUUUUCUUGUUUUUUCUGUUUCCAUGUUAGAAUUCGGUGAGUCUUGUCUCUCUUCUUUAAAGAUGCUCAAUUAAUGGACCGAUAGUUGAUCACCCAAAAUCACGUGAAAGUAAUUUUUCGCAUGUUUUCUCUUUUAUAUAUAUAUAUAUAUAUAUAUAUAUAUAUAAACUAUCUUCCUCCAAACUUCCAACCAUAGAUGUACACUAGUUAGUGGUUUUUUUUUUUAAUUAAUAUAGGUAUUUAAACCAGUUUACACCCACCUCGACUAAUCACACGAGCUCUUAAGUUAACGACCAUGUAAGCCUUCAGUGACUCUAAGAUUUGUAGAACUCGAACUGGUGACCUCUAGGGAGCAAAUAUAGAACCUGACCAGUUGAGCUACACCCCUCAUGGUUAUAGUUAGUGGUUUUUAUUUGUGUUAUGAUGCGAGUGAUAUUUUUUCUAUUCUUAAAAAAUAAUAAAAUAAAUGGAGAUAAUAAUAUAUUAGAUAAUAUUUAAAAAAAAACUAAAUAUCUAGAAAUUAAUCUAAUUUAAUUAAAAAAUUAAAAAGAAACUAAACCCAAUAAAGAAAGAAAUGUAAAAAUACCUGAGAUCUUUUUAAAAUCAAUUAAAAAUCCUAUAUAAAGAAAAAAAAUACAAAGUCCAAUAUCUAAUUAAAUCAAAUGUCAAAUGAUGAAAUUGAAAAACAUGAUUUAAAAAAAAACAACAACAAAUGAUCUUGAACGAAUCUCCUAAACUUGGGUUAUUCCCUCAAAGUCCUAACCCGUUAAAUCCUAAAUUUGAGGUCAAUCAAGUAGCUCAAUUUAAUUAUAAGGAUGAAAAAAAAAAAACAAUUUAAAAAACUUGCUAAGGUUAAAAAAAUAGUAAUAAAAAGAAUAAGGAUAAAAUUUGAUAUGCCAAUAUAAUGGAGGAUGAAAUUGAAAAAAUAAAAUAAUUUUAAAAAUCAUCCCAAAUAAAAUAAAUAGCAAUUAAAAGAAUGAGGACCAAAUUCAUUCAUUAAGAAUGAAAUCAAAAAACAAAUUCAAUUCUAUAAACUAAUUCAAAUAAAAAUUUUGCAAUUAAAAUAAUAGUGAUCAAAUCAUAAGGAGAAAGAAAUUGAUGGUUGUUGUGAAAUGUUGCAAGGGAAGGCAAGGCAACCAAAAAAGAAAGAGAAAAGAAGUGGAAAAAAAAGUCAAUCACAACCAAACCAUUGGGAAUUAAGCCAUAUGCAUCGUCUAUGAAGGUAGCCCCCGCCGUUUCAAAUAAAAAAAUACCAAGAAAGAUAGUUUUUCAUUGUCGUGAGCCACCAUGGAUGUUGUUCAAAGACAACAAGGUGACCCACUCUUUAGCGCGGUCUAUGAAUGCGCUAGUGGCUAUUUCUUUUCCUUUUUUAUUAUUUGUUUAUUAAGUAAAUGACCAAAUCAUCCCUAAGACCACAUGAUAAUUGCAAAAACAAAAAAACUCAAGGUGAAAUGACUAGUAUGCCCUUAAAAUCAGGCCUAAGAUAUUUUUAUUUCAAUAGCAAUAAAGUAGUAACAUUGUGCAUGCAAAAAAGAAAUAUAAAAAAAGCCUUUGGACCAAAGUUUUUUUGUCCUUUUAAGAGUUCCCAACUAAUUUAACUGUGCAAAAAAUUGUGAAAAGAAUAAGAUAUCCCCAAUAAAUCUAAAAUGACAAAUGAACCUAGAAAAAAGUUUAUUUUACCCCUAAAAGACAACUUUGUGUAUUUUUUGUGAAGGGCAAAGACUUUAAUGUACUAUAUAAUCCAAGGUAAUUAAAGGCAUAACAACAAUGUUUUCCCCACACAGCUUAAGUUCUGGUAAUAAUAAAACAUGAAUUGAAGAUCCAUCUUGUCCAAAAUUCAGGUUAUUGAUAGGGAGGUUAAUUCGAAUUAACGUAAAUCUACUAGAUCCAAAAUCCAAGUUAUUGGUUGAGUAAGUUAACCCUGUUUCACACCAAUAUUUUUUUUAAAAAAAGUUGAAAUAUCAUCAUAGUAGACUUUUUUAAAUGAAAAGUAAACUUGAAAUGACGUGAUUUUGAAAAACAAAACUAUUUUUUCCCCUUAAGCUAGCUCAAAUUAGAUUCCAGAUCAAUAAAUUACCAAGUUUCCCUGAGAUUUAAUAUACCUAGGUUGCUAUGGAUAAAGUAAAAGUAAAUAACAAAAGUUGUGGGAUGAAAAAGAAAAGAAAAGGAAAAUAUUUAUGUUUUUUUAAUUAAAAAUAAAGGUAAUUAAAAUAAGUUCCUGUAAGAGUUUGAAUGAUUUAAAAUAAGCAGGAAAACUAUAUUUAUUAAAUCUAAACUAUAUUUAUUUAUUAUUGUAUUUUAUUUAUUAUUAAAAUAAGUUAUUUUGUUAUAAGUAUUGUUUCUUAAAUUAAAACAAAACUAAUCACAAUCUUGAAAGAAAUUUUUAACAAAAUAAAAAUUGAAAAUUAUAUCUAAAAAAAUUUAACAAAAAGAUUAAACAAAAUAAUUCUAUAGGAGUCAAACAGAAUAGUAAAAGGAAAACAAAGAGAGGAAGUAUUAACCUUUUCAAAUGCUAAUAUUGACACUAAGGAAAUGUUAUAGAACAAAAAUAAAACGCUGCACAUCAAAUGUUUUUAAGAAAUUAAUGGAUUCAAAUAUACAAUGUGAUGUUAUUAAGUUUAUACUUUGCCUUUGAACAUAGAUAAUACAUUACAUUUCAUUGACCCGUUACUUUAAUUAAAAACCUAGCAACGCUAUGAAAGAAAAUAAAUAAAUAAAUAAAUAAAUAAAAGCAAGAAAAAGAUGAAUAAAAAUGCAAGAUUUUAUUAUUAUUCGGUGGGGCAGUACAAUCAUAUAAUUGCCAAAUAUUUUGAAAACAAGGUAACAUGUUAAGCAUGAGUGAGAAAAAUAAAGGUCGAGGUGUAAUUUAAUUGUUUAAAUUUUGAGUUUAUUUUUUAUAAAUACUAGUUUGAAUAUUAUAGAUCUCGAGAUUACUAGAGAUUUAUAUAAUUGUUAAUUUUAAAAUCUUGAAGAAUUAAUCAAUAUAUAUAUCAACUCACUCGAACAUUCAUAAUUAAAAAAAUAAGAAAAUGAAUCAUAAUAGAAAUUAGAAAGUUUCUCUCUUUUUUUUACAGUUCGGUCAUUGAAAAAAUAAAAGAUAAAAAACCAAUGCAGACUCAAAGAUCCCAAUUAAACCAUACCCAUUUACUUCAACACUCACUAAACAGAAAAAUAUUCAAAAUCCAAUCUUUACUUGUCCAUUAUGACCCUCAGGUAAAUAAAACACUCUUUCUCCGUGCUUGGGAACAUCACAAGUGGAACUACACAUGCCUUCCAUAACUCUAUAUUAUCCUAGAACCAAAAAGUCAAUUUUCCUAGAAAACAAACAAAAUAAAUAAAUAAAUAAAGGCCAUGUUUGUUUUCUGGAAUUCACUUUACAGGAAACCACUUUCCAAACUUUCCUGUAUUUGUUUGCCAUUAGGAAAGUUAGUCAACGAAAAACACUUUACAGUCAACAGAAACACUUUCCGGUCAACGGAAAACACUUUCCAGUCAAAUAAAAAUUUGGUUUGGUUUUCAGGAAAGUGUUUUCCCUUUUGGCUGUGUUUGUUUUCCGGAAAGUGGUUUCCGGGAAAUCACUUUCCAAACUUUCCUGUGUUUGUUUGCCAUUAGAAAAAUUGGUCAACGGAAAACACUUUCUAGUCAAAGGUAAAUUUGGCUUGGUUUUCAGGAAAGUGUUUUCCUGGAAAAUUUGGGCGGAAAACACUUUCCGGAAGUUGUGAAAAAAUUAAAAAUAUCAUUAUUUGCUGAUUAUAUUAAAUUUCAUCCUCAAACUUUUGAUUGCUAUAUAUAAUUUAUUUUGAAUAUUUAUUUUUCAAUUCCAUCUCUUAAAAUUUAAUUUUUAUAUUAAUUUUAGUCCUUAUUUUUAUAAUUGCUAUUUGCUUUUUCCUUAUCAUUUUUUUAUUGAAAUUUUUUAUCUAUCAAAUUUGGUCCUCAUUCUUUUGAUAGUUACUUAUUUUAUUUGAAAUAAUUUAUGAAAUGUUAAUUAUUAUUAUUUUAAUUUCUUCACCUUUCAUUUUUUUUUAAUUUUUUAGAUUUGAUCUCUAUUAUUUUGAUUAUUAUUUAUUUUAUUUGAGAUAAUUUAUGAAAUUAUAUUUUUUUUCAAUUUCAUUCUCAUUCAACUUUUUAAUUUGUAAGAUUUGUUCCUCAUUAUUUUAAUAAACUUGAGAAAAAUAAAACAUUAAUAAGUUAUUUUCCAGCUCAUUUUCCAUGACAUAACCAAACACUGGAAAGUGUUUUCCAACUUAUUUUUCAUUACACUACCAAACAUCGGAAAAUACUUUCCCGGAAUUCACUUUUCCCGGAAUUCACUUUUUUUAAAAAACUACUUUCCAGCAAACAAACGGGUCAAAGUCAUUUCAAACUUCACCUUCAUUGUUCCCCAGUGGAAUCUACCAUCCUCCUCUUCCUAUUCCUCGAUUCGUAGCCAUCACUUUUUAAAACCCACCAAGCAACAAAAGCAGCAGCCAAAGUCGAGAAUAACUUGAAGAAUCGUGCUUUCAAAAUAGAGACGUGCGAGAGAAGAAAAAUGCGAAACAACCAGAGAGGCAGAAGCGGGGUUGGCUAUGAAAAGGGCUUUGGUGGACAUCGAGAGAGAAAGGGUUGAGAGGAGGAAGGGGGUGUAGGGUUGUGAGAGUGAAUUUUUGGAUUUGAGUUAUUUUAAGACACUUUUCCAUUUAUUAAGUUAAUAAUAUUUUUAAUUCUUUGGUUUAACCAUUCUAGUCCCAUCUCUUUCAAUCAGUUUCAGAUUUUUAAAACCGAAAUUAAACAAAAUUUAUUUAUUUUUGUUUUUUAAUAGGUUAUUUUUUAUUAGGAAUUUUUUUGUUGUUUUUUAGUUUAAUAAGUUUUUUGGUUUUUUUUUCUCAUCCCUAAUUAAAAUACUAUCCAUUCAUUAUGCAUUUUUUUAAAGUUUUCUAUAUAGCUCUAGUUAAUAUUUGCAAUUGAGUUCCUAGUUUUAAUAAUCUUUGCAUUUAAGUAACAAUAUUUCAUUAUAUUCUUGUUUUUAUCUCUAAAUAGCUGUAAGAGAAACGAAAGGAGAGGAAAAAUACUCCAAUUAAGGUAUUUUCCGGUCAUGAAAUUGUUAAACUUGGUUUUUAUCUGUUCAAUUGACAAUCCUUAACAUGGCUGAAGAAAAAAUAUCAAGACUUCAAUAAUAUAUUGAGUUUUUUUAUUUGGUUGGGUUUUGAAGGUUUCUUUGCCAAUUACGAUAUUUGAUGUAUUUUGAGAGUGAAAAUGAGUUUAUAAAGUUUGUUAGCAUAAUAUUUUGAUGUCUAGAGUGGAAAAUGAAAGAUUUGGAUUUGUAUGACCAAAACUAUAUUCUCGUAAUUUUGUAGCAACCAAACGGAUAUUAAAAAUAUUAAUUGGUCAAAUUUUUUUCAGGAAAAGUAAUGGUUAUUUUUUUUCUUUACCUCUAUUUUUUUGAAAAUUACAAUUUAUAUUUUUAAAAUUUAUAAGUUCGUAACACUUUAUAACACGUUAAAAAAAAAAUCAACAAAAAUUAUAAAGUAUUUUAUAUCCUUCUAUUAUGCAAAACAUAGAUGAUUUUUUAUUGUCACCAUCACCGGAAGAUAAACCACUCACACACUUGAAGACUCUUAUUCAACCUCUAUUGUAAGAGAUAAUGGAGAAUUUAGCUCUUCUUAUUAAGAAUAAAAAAGUAUUUUCUUCAGACAUCCAUCGAAAUAUAAAAAAAGCACAUCAAAUUUAUCUCCUUUCGAAAUUUUCCAUCAGAGACCACCAAAGGAAUGCAUAAUGGACACAGAGUUGAAGAUAAAGGGGAGAAACAUUAGAAGGGUUAGGGGUGGAGACAAACAUUUUGCAUUUAUCAAUGUAAUAAUUAUUUUUGAAAAAAAAAUAAAGAUUUUUUAAAAUUAUUUUUUAUAUAGUUACCAAGGGAAAUUAAUUUUGUCGGCAAAUGGUAAGAAAUAGUUGAAAAAAUUAACAAAUAAAUUAAAUUUUCAUCAUUUUUUAACGGUGCAAACUAAUCUCUUAAUAAUGGUAUUGAUAAUAGUUUUUUUUUUUAAAGCUAAUUCUGUUAGUAAGAAGUAGCAAUUUAAAUUUUUUUCUUUAAAUAAAAGUUCUUUUAAGUUGUGAGUUUCUUUCAAACUAUUUAAGUGUGAUUAAUUCUUAAUUUUUUAAACUUUUUUAUGUUCAUGUAUUUAUUUUAAUUUCUCAACUUAUAUUUUGAGGUUUUAAAUUGGAUAGGUUCCACGAUCUGUAUUGUCUUUCUAAUUUUAGUGACUCUAUUAUCAUAUUAAUUUUAAUAUGUGAAUUUGAGUUUCAUAUAAAGGCUUGAAUCUUAUUAUGGAUAAUAUAUUUAAAUUAAUCCGUCAAUGCGAGUUUCCAGAAUUAAAAAGCCAAACCGUCACAAUAUCCCGAUUGUUUCUUGCAAAUCAGGCAAAAAUGAUCAUGAACAAAACCCUGCGACCAGAAGAGAUCUGCUCAUUGGUCUCGGUGGACUCUAUGGAGCAACUAGUCUUAGUGAUCCAUUUGCCUAUGCUAACCCCAUUUGCACCCCCAGACAUAACCCAAUGUGAGCUAGUUCCCCUGCCAACCGAAAGUGACCCCUCGAACUGUUGCCCUCCAACAUCCACAAAGAUCAAAAACUUCGAAUUCCCUUCUGCGUCCUCCCCAAUGCGCAUUAGGCCUGCUGCUCAUUUAGUUGAUAAAGCCUACGUAGCUAAAUACGCCAAAGCCAUUGCACUGAUGAAAAGUCUUCCUGACGAUGAUCCACGUAGCUUCAAGAGCCAAGCCGACGUUCAUUGUGCUUAUUGUGAUGGCGCUUAUCACCAAGCAGGCUUUCCUGAUUUAGACCUUCAAAUUCACUUCUCGUGGCUCUUCUUUCCCUGGCAUAGACUCUAUUUAUACUACUUCGAAAGAAUCUUGGGUAAACUGAUUGAUGGUCCAACUUUCGCUUUGCCUUUCUGGAAUUGGGAUGCCCCUGCCGGCAUGCAAAUGCCAGCCAUUUUUACUGACCCCGAAUCACCACUUUAUGACCCCCUUCGCGAUGCGAAUCACCAGCCUCCGACAUUGCUUGAUCUUAAUUACGCGAAAGGAGAUGCGAAUCCAGACCCUGCAAAAGCAGAGGAAUUGUAUGCAAGCAAUCUUAACGUAAUGUACAGGCAAAUGGUGUCCGGUGCCACGAAGCCUACUCUCUUUUUUGGAAAACCAUAUCGUGCUGGUGAUGAUCCAAGCCCUGGAAUGGGUACAAUCAGGGGCGGAGCCAAGAAUUUUUUUUAUCCUGGGCUAUUAAAUAAAUAUAUAAAUAUUUUUUAAGAUCGAUUAUUAACUUAUAUACAUGAAUUUUUGAAGUUAACAGUAAAGUUUUAAUUCAAAUACACUACCCUAAAUAUUAAAAAAUAAAUUUGAAAGUACAUAAAAUUAAAGCGAAAGUAAAAAUAAACUCACUAUUAAAGUUACAUCCUUUGAUGUUUUGUGGAAUAUAAUUCAUCUAGAAUCGAAUCUGAAUCGAUAUUGUAACAACCCCUCAACCGGGAUAAAAUAACAAUCUCAAUUCAACUGAAAAACAAAGUAAUUAAAUUUUUUUCCUCUUUCAUUUCCUCCUUCCUUCACUUGAUUCUUCCCUAGAUUAGUGUUUUAUAAGUUGGACUUUGUAAGUUUACGAGGUUAUUCUUUCACUUUUUUUUAUUUUUUUUCUUAGAUUUUUUUUUAUGUUUUUCCCUUAUUUUUUUCUAUCUCUCUCUCGCCUUUUCUUUUUUUUAUUUUUCUAUUCUGCUUCUGCCCAGUCGGCAACAUAUAAAAGAAAGGAGGAGCUGAUUUGUUUUAUUUUUUAAUGGCAAAUAACCAUUUUACUCUUAAUGAGUCAUUUUGCUUUUAUUUGACGGUCCUUUUUUUGUUAGCCCUACUAAGCUCCGUUCAUUCUAAAAUUUUAACCAGAUUUUAUUCAACAUAUUUUAAGAUCCCUUGUAAAAUUUCAGCUCGAUCUGAUGGUCGGAUUGAAAAUUACGUCCAAUAACGUAAAACUGGUCAAAUUGUGAUUUUUCAUCAAAUUUCUAAAUUUCUCCAAAAAUUCUGAAAUUUUAACCCAAGCUAAAGCAUCAUAUUAAAAGGCUCCACGCAAAUUUUCAGAAUUUUUUGAUAAUUUAAUUGAAAAUUACGAAUUUUUUUACAUAAAACUAGUAAAAAAAUAUUGAUAAAAUCUUGACCUGCCAGCCUUUGCCAUACCUCCGCCUAUGGGUACAAUUGAGACCACCCCACACACUCAGAUUCACUACUGGACCGGCGACCCCAAUCAAACUAACGGGGAAAAUAUGGGCAAUUUCUACUCAGCAGGGAGAGAUCCCAUAUUUUAUUGUCAUCACUCGAACGUCGACCGAAUGUGGGACUUGUGGAAGAAAAUACCUGGAGGCAAGCGAAAGGAUAUCGAGGAUCCUGAUUGGCUUAAUUCAGAGUUUCUUUUCUGGGAUGAGAAUAAAGAGCUGGUUCGAGUAAAGGUUAAAGAUACUCUUGACACCAAGAAGCUAAGAUAUGGCUUUCAAGAUGUUCCUAUUCCUUGGCUGAAAACUAGAGCAACACCAAAAUUAACAAGGCAGGAAAAAUCACGUCGUGCAGCUAAAAAAAGCGUUGUAUUAACACCAAUUAGUGCAUUCCCUGUUGUCUUGGAUAAAGUCAUAAGUGUGGAGGUUUCCAGGCCAAAGAAAUCAAGAAGCGCGACGGAGAAAGAAGAUGAAGAUGAAGUUUUGGUUAUUGAAGGGAUUGAGUAUGAAGAAAAUCAAUUAAUUAAGUUCGAUGUCCUCGUCAACGAUGAACCUGAUUCACCUGGUGGACCAGACAAGUCCGAGUUUGCAGGAAGUUUCGUCAAUGUGCCUCACAAGCAUGCAAAAAAAUCAAAGACAACUAUGGUAUUGGGGAUUACAGGAUUGUUGGAAGAUCUGGAAGCUGAAGGAGAUGAUACCCUUGUGGUGACUUUCGUGCCUCGGUCUGGUGGUGAUUUUGUUACCGUUGCUAAUGUCAAGAUUGAGUUUGUCGCUGACUGAUCAUGGUGAUGAGAGGACAUACGCUACCAUUUUCUUUUCUUUUCUUUUUUUCCUUUUGCCUUUCUUGUUUUUUCUCUUUCUAUGUUUGUACUCAGUGAGUUUUCUCUUUUUUCUUUCAAGAUGCUCAACUAAUGGACCGUAUUUCAAUUUGAAUACUACAAUGGUUUCUUAGAUUUGUUGCCAGAAGUUGAUGAACAAAAAUAACUAGACCCAUAUGGUAAAAAAUCAUUGUCAUUUUAGACUUUUUUUAAAUGAUACAUAAACCUAAAACAAUAUGGUUUUGAAAUGAAAAAAGUAAAUUUUAUCAUAAACUAACCCAAAUCAGAUCUCAAAUAAAUGAAUUACCAAGUUGGUCCUAGAUCUUAUAUAACUAGGUCUAGAUUGACAAAAAUAACUAGACUCAUUCGGUUAAAAAAAAAACAAAAGACGUGAUAGAGAACUGGCAAACAAGAUUGUUAAAAUUGCGAUUUUGACACGGCACGAAAAGUGUAAUACAAACUCGUAAAAAUAGAUUUCUGUGCCGUAAUACAAACUCGUAAAAAUAGAUCAUAAAAUCGUAAAGAAUUUUAAAAUACAUUAACAAAAAAUUCAUGCUUCAAAUGAAAAUUCAAGAAUCAACUCAAAUCAGCCCUGUAAUCAAUCCAAAAUUUUUAUGAUUGCAAUUAACUUUUUGUUAUACAUAACAAUUCACAAAACUAUAAUACUGAAAUGAAAUCCUAAAAUCAUUCCAUCAUUCCCCAGUAUAAAUGGAUAGCCCACAGCCCCACACUUCACAAAACAAAAAACAUGAUUUAACGAUUUGAAUUUUCAUCCGAUUAAUUCAAUUUAAUUCAGUCCAAUUAAUUCAGUCCUAUAAUACUGAAAUGACAUUUAAUUAAGUCAAAUUCAACAUUUUUCAGUCCAAUUUUCACCCCAUUAAUUCAGUCCAAUUAAUUCAGUCCUAUAAUACUGAAAUGACAUUAAAUUCAGUCCAAUUUAACACUUAUAAUCCAAUUUUCACCCCAUUAAUUUAAUUCAAUUUAGUCCAAUUAAUUCAGUCCUAUAAUACUGAAAUGACAUUCAAUUUAGUCCAAUUCAACAGUUUUCAGUCCAAUUUUCACCCGAUUAAUAUUAUUAAUUCAGUCAAGAUAUAUACUGUGGCAGUGUGGCAUUCAAUUCAACAAUUUUCUUAUCCAAUCUGUUCAGUCCAUCCAAUUUUCACCCGAUCAAUUCCAUUCAAUUCAAUUCAACAUUAUACAUAUACAAAUUACAGGACCGGGCAAAAUCAAAAUUGUAAUUAAUAAUUACAGGGUAAUAGACUAACAGUUAACAGAGCAAAAUAAAAAUCUAUUACAGGGGCAAAAUCAACUACUGCAGUGAUGAUGAUGAAGGCAAAAUGAACUUACGGUGAAGAGCCGUUGAUGAUGAUGGCUGAACGGCUGCUGGUGAAGAGGCCCGAUGUCGCCUGCUGCUGUUGAAGAUGGGAAAGAAACGAGAUUGUUGUCGGCGUGUCGUUGUUAAUGAAGAUUCAAGAGGAAGCCCGAAGCCGUGAGCUGUUGAGGAGAUCGUCGUCGCCGCUUUUGUGGAGAACGGAAGCCGCGACCGUGAGCACUGAGGAAAGAGAAGGAGUGAAGACUGGACCGUGACUGCUUUUGUGGAGAAUGGAGAUCGUCGUCGCCGCUUUUGUGGUUGCCGGUGCCCAGUUGGUUAAUUAGAUAAAGGGAUUAGGGAUUAGCCGAUUAGGGAUUUGUGAGUAUCAGGAGAGUAUUUUGUGAGUUGUGAUUUGUGAGUUUAGGGAUUUGUUCAUUGAAGACAUUGAAGAGCGACUCGCGUGAUUGUGCAUUUCCACAGCCAAUAGGCGCCUGACAGCUGGACGAUGGGGGGGAAUUUUGUUUCAGCGCAUCAUUUUGGCACAAUCGGUCCUGAAAUCGCGAUUUUACGCGAUUUCUUUCGAUUUUUGCGAUUUCACCCAUUUUCGAUUUUUUCAAGCGAUUCAACACGUAAAACAUGUUUUGACUCGUAAAAUCAUACGAUUUUCCGAGUCAAAACGCGAUUUUAACAACCUUGCUGGCAAAGCUACUUUCUUCCCCUCUGCCUCUGUUCUGUGUGCGCUUCUCCUCUGGUCUUGCUUUUCUUUGCUUGGUCCCUUUUUUCUUAUCUUGUUCUCCAUGUCUCCCUUAGUGUCUGCCUGGUAUUCUUGUGUUGCUCAUCCUGUUCUCUAGUUUUCUUCCUUUCUCUUCAGUGUAUGUGUUGUCUGUUCGUCUGUGUUUUUUUUGUUCCAGUGUUGUUCUAUGUUGGCUUGAGCUUGCUCCCGAUUGCUGGAGUUUUGAAGGAGAUUCUACAGUCCCUUUCCUCUGUUUCACUCUGUCUCUGUUUUUUUUUCUCUGGAUCGUCCUUCCUGUAUUUGCUCGUUCGUCACCUUCUCUCUCUACUGGUUUUUUCCUGUCCUCUCCUCCCUUGGUUUUUCUGUUCUUUCGUUCGUUUCCUUCCUGUAUUUGCUCGUUCAUCCCCUUCUCUCUCUACUGGUUUUUUUUUCCUAUCCCUUCCCCCUCAUUCGUGGCCUUUCUCUGGCUUUUAUAAAGCCAGAGAAUGCCAAGCGUUCGUGCAUCGUGGGGGCGAGGGAUAGCAGCUGGGAGACGUGGUCCAUAAUUGAAAUGGUGCAUUUACUGCUGAAACGGUUCCUGAGGAAGAGGGCGAUCAAUAGUUUUUGAAACGGAGUCGUUUUCUUGAUUAAAAUGGCUAUUUUCAAUUUUGCCCCUGGAGUAAUUGGAAUUGGACCCCUAGAUUUUAGCACCAUUUACAAAACAGUUUUCUAAAUUAUUCAAUUCAGCCCUUAAUUAACUCUUCAACUUUUCUUUCUUUUAAAAUUACCUCUGAAAAAAUCAAUUAACCCUCUUAUAGUAUCACCAUCUAUUUAUUUUAAUCCUUGAAUUUAAUUUCUUGCAAUUUUAACUCUAAUCAACCCCAAACUUUGAUAAUUCUUCAAUUAAGCCUUUAAUAGCAUUAAUUAAUUAAAUCAAAGUUUAAUUAAGUCUCCAUACUUAUCAAUUCUUUCAAUUUUGUACCAAAUUGACUUCAAAAUUUAUAAUUUCAUCCUUAUUAGUCCUCAAACUUUCAAUACGUUUUGUCUUAACCUAAAUCUCAAAUUAUUUUUUUCAUUCAUUUUUUCGUUAUUUAUUUUUUAAUUUAUUAUUAUUAUUUUAUUAAUCUUUUUAAAAAAUUCAAAAUUAAAUUGGGUUAUGACACUCAUGUUAUGUUAAUAGUAUUUUUAAUUUUACUAAUCAUUUUUUUCCAGGGUUGUUCUUGGUUUUAUUUUUUUUGUUUCCUUAAUUUUUUGGUUUUUUUCUCAUCCCUAAUUAAAACAUUAUCCAUUCACUGUGCAUUGAUAUUCUUUAAGUUUUCUAUGUAGCUCUAGUUUAUAUUUGCAAUUAAGUUCUGAAUUUUAAUAAUAUUUGCAUUUAACAAUAUUUCUUAUCUUCUUGUCUAAAAGUUCUCAAAGUUUAACAAUUAAGUUCUCAAAUUUUAUUAAUCUUCCUACAACAUUUCCUUUCCUUGUUUAUUUAUGUGUCUUUCUUUCAUUAUGUUUAGCUAAGUUAAUUAUGUCAAGGUGAAAAGGGUACACUAAUGGUGUAAGAAUAAGUAUAAUAUAAACUUAACAUGGACCUUAAUGUUGGAUGCUAACAUACUUUAUAUUUGUUAUCUUGUUUACUUUUAAUACUUUGCUUGUUAAAUGGUUAAUCUAGAUUUAUGUUGUAUAACACUUGGUACAACAAAUACUUGGUACUUUCAUAGCCCAUACUGUAUGGUAUAACCGACACCUGAGCUAUGAAAGGAACUUGAUUUGUUGUUAACAUAAGUUAUAAUCAUGAAUGCUUGGCAACAUUUACAAGUAUUAGCAUUAUUCGAAUAAGAUAACUAAUGUAAUCAUGUUAACAGUUUAUAAUCUGAUUGGAACCUCCUUUGUGUGUGGUUUCCAAUUGAAUACUAAGAGUUUAUACUAUACUUGUUUGAAAUACCAUUAGUGGAUCCUCUAACCUUGACAUUUGUUUUUAUCAUUGUUUAAUUCUCAUAUUGAUCUUCCAUCUCAAAGUUCUCAUCAACUUCUACUUCUUCUUCUUCUUCUUCAUUAUUAUUAUUAUUAUUACUAUUAUUAUUGUUGUUAUUGUGUUGCUAUAAUUUAUACAAUUAACCUCCCUGUGGUUCGAACCCGGUCUUGCCGGCUUAUUUAUUACUUCGACACUCCUACACUUGGGAAAAGACAUCAAUCUUUUGGUCGUGUCAAGUUUUUGGCGUCGUUGCCGGGGAGGUAAUUUCUUAUACAAAUUAUAGUUUUCAUUUUAUUUUCUCUUUUCACUUUUCUUGUAUAUAACUUUGUUUAUUUGUUUGUUUUGUUUCUUUCUGUUUUGUUUUCCUCUUUUUUUUAUUCUCUUUUUACACGUGCAUGAGAGUCUGGUCGCGUACAUUAAGUGGUAGAUUUUGUAGGGUAUCCUCAUCAUUUUCAGAAAAUAUGGUCGAAGAAGAUAACCAAUCGCUUCUUAAUAAGAAUAAUGAGAAUAUUCGGGUUAGAACACUUAGAGACCACAUGAAUCCCACAAGAACAAGUGCACCCUCAUGCAUAGUUUUUCCCCCUGAUGCAUCUCAUUUUAAUUUUAAGACAUGCAUUAUUCAACUUUUACCUUCUUUUCAUGGCUUAGAUUUAGAAAAUCCAUACUUGCAUUUAAGGGAAUUUGAGGAGGUCUGUAACACCUAUAAUGACUCAAAUUGUAGCAUAAACACCAUUAGGUUAAAGCUUUUUCCUUUUUCAUUAAAAGAUAAAGCUAAAACAUGGCUACAAAAUUUGAGACCUUGAUCUAUUCGUGCUUGGGAUGAAAUGCAACAAUAAUUUUUAAAGAAGUUUUUUCCAUCUCACAGAACAAACUCUUUCAAAAGACAAAUAAUCACUUUCACUAAAAAACCAGGAGAAACAUUUUACCAAUGUUGGGAUAGGUAUCGAGACUUGCUUAAUACUUGUUCUCAUCAUGGUUUUGAAACAUGGAGAUUGGUUUCACAUUUUUAUGAAGGGUUAACACCUAGAGAUAGGCAAAUGGUUGAAUUGAUGUGCAAUGGAACUUUUGAAGACAAAGACCCUAAUGAAGCAAUGGAGUACCUAGACUUGCUAGCUGAAAAUGCUCAAAAUUAGGAUACUAGAGGCAAUUAUGAGGCACCAAGUAAAACCCAACCUCAUACAUCUAGUGGAGGUAUGUACAACCUUAGGAAAGAUCAUGACCUCCAAGCCAAGUUUGCAUCUUUAGCUAGAAAAGUCGAAGCACUAGAAUUGAAAAAGAGUGGUCAAUUAAAAUCUGUUCAAGACAUUGUGUGUCAAAUCUGUGAAACCAAUGAACAUUCAACCAAUGACUGUCCCACUUUGUCUUCUUUUAAGGAAUGUCUCCAUGAACAAGCCCAUGCUUUAAACAGUUUCCAACGGCCCAAUCAUAACCCAUACUCGCAAACAUACAACCCUGGUUGGAGAUAUCACCCAAAUUUCAAUUGGAAGAGUGAUAACAACAAUGCACAAACUUCACAGCCACCGUUUCAAGCACACCAUAAUUUUCAAAAUUCUCAUGGAUAUGCACCUCCUUAUGCUCCACCUCUUAGAAGAAAUCUUGAGGAAACAUUGCAUGCAUUCAUUGAAAAGCAAGAGACAAUCAACACUCAACUUGCUCAAAACAUGAUAGAUUUUAAAGAUACUCUUGCAAAAUUGACAUCUGCUCUCAGUUUCCAAGAGAAAGGUAAGUUUCCAUCUCAACCACAACAAAAUCCAAAGGGGCAAUACAAUGUGAAUACAAGUAGUUCUAGAAGCCAACACAUGGAUCAAGCCAAAUCAGUCAUCACUCUUCGCAGUGGUAAGGUUAUUGAAAAACCCAUUCUUGAACCUUGUGAGAAAGAUGAUGAGUCAAUCUCUGAGGGUAAGGAAGGGAUUGAAUCUGAACAUUGCAAAGAAAAGACUGAUUUCCCGCCAGCACUUCCAUUUCCUCAUGCCAUGACCAAACAAAGGAAAUUCAAUCAAAACUCUGAAAUCUUUGAAAAUUUCAAACAGUUAAGGAUCAAUAUACCUUUGUUGGAUGCUAUUAAACAAAUUCCUUCUUAUGCUAAAUUUUUGAAAGAUCUGUGCACUGUGAAGAGAAAACUGAAUGUGAAAAAGAAAACCUUUUUAGCCGAACAAGUAAGUGUCAUUCUUCAGAACAAUAAUGCUUUGAAAUAUAAAGACCCUGGUUGUCCUAUAAUUUCAUGCUUUAUUGGAGAACAUAAAAUUGAAAGAGCCUUACUUGAUCUUGGAGCUAGUGUGAAUUUACUUCCAUAUUCAGUUUUUCAAAGUCUCAAUCUAGGUGAGUUAAAACCAACUUCUGUAACUCUUUUACUUGCCGAUAGAUCUGUAAAAAGGCCUAGAGGAAUAAUUGAAGAUGUGUUAGUACAAGUCGAUAAAUUCAUUUAUCCUGUGGAUUUUAUUGUCUUGGACACACAACCUGUUGAAGCAUGUAAUUCAUUUCCUGUUAUUUUAGGAUGUCCGUUUCUUGCAACUUCUAAUGCAUUGAUUAAUUGUAGGAAUGGACUCAUGAAGCUAUUAUUUGGAAACAUGACAUUGGAGAUGAAUAUUUUCAACAUUUGCAAGCAACCCGGAGAUGAUAAUGAUUUACAAGAAGUAGAUCUUAUUGAAGAAUUAGUUCAUGAUCAACUUGAAUCUACUUUGAGUAAAAUUGAGUUGGAUGAAUCUGAAGAAUUGCAAAUGAUUUAUUCUUAGGAAGAAAUCACGGAUAAGAAAGGCACCGAAAAUGUUGAUACGAAUCUUUUGUCAAGAGUGACAACAGAUUCGACAUCUGAUAUCACACCAAUCGAUGAUUACUUUCGUAACGAAUCCUUACUUUCUCUUAGUUCAAUGCCUUGGUUUGCUAAAAAUAUUAAUUUUCUUGCUACAAGAGAUUUGCCAACUCAGUGGAGUACCGAAGACAAAAGAAAGUUUUUGAGCGACGUGCAAAAAUUGUAUUGGGAUGACCCUUACUUAUUCAAAUGUUGUCCUGAUCAAAUAUUUCAAAGAUGCAUUCCUCACAAUGAGGUAAGUAGUGUCAUAAAACUUUGUCAUUCUAAGGCAUGUGGGAGUCAUUUCUCGUCAAAAAAGAUGACUGCAAAAAUCAAAAUAUUACAAUAUGGAUUUUAUUGGCCCACCAUGUUCAAGGACACGCAUGCAUUCUGCAAAGCUUAUGAAAAUUAUCAAAAGUCAGGAUUUAUUUCAAAACAUAAGGAAUCUUUAGAUAAUCUUCUAUUGACUUUUGAGACAUAUCCUGGUGGAGAUGUGCAUUGUGCAUUUCAAGACUUAUGACCCCAUUUCCAUAAAGAACGUGAUCGACUUAGUCUUGGGAAUCUGACUAUAAAAGACCCUGUUUGCCAGUUUUUAAGAAAACUGGAUGGGAAGCCUAUCCCCGACCCAUAGAGGGCGUUUAAGCCGUUCUUGGACGUAAAAACAAGGGAAGAUGUGAGCCAUAAUCACAACUAUCUGUACAUACACAUGCUUUUUCAAAAUAAAUAAAUAAAUAAAGAGAGAGAGUGUGUGUAUGUGUGUGUGUGUGUGAGACUCCAACUGGCCUACAUAUAGGUGAUAUGAUUGCAUUUUCAAUUUCUCAUCUAUAAAAUCUUCUCUUUCUUCCCCUCAUUUCUACUCAACCCUUACAUUAGACAGAUAUAGAAGUGUGUAGAAAUGGCAAGUUCCUCAAGUUAUCACAUAAAAAAUAUUUGUGUUUUCGGUGGAUCCAGUCUUGGAAAGGAAAUAACGUUUUUAGAAUCAGCAAAUCAUCUUGGUCAGGUACUAGCUGAGAGAAAGAUUCAUUUAGUGUAUGGGGGAGGCAGCCUUGGGUUAAUGGGGGGUGUGUCAAUAGCUGCCUUUUUAGGAGGUAGUCAAGUUUUGGGGGUCGUCCCCAAAGCUUUAGCAAAAGGGGACAUCAUUGGAAGAACAAUUGGAGAGGAACUACAGGUCUCCACAAUGUUUGAUCGAUUGAAUGCAAUGUUUAACCAUGCUGACGUCUUCAUUGCCUUACCAGGUGGUCUGGGCACAUUGGAAGAGAUCUUUCAUAUUUCCUCUUGGGCCCAACUGCACAUUCACCAUAAACCUAUAGGUCUGUUAAAUGUUAAUGGUUUUUAUGAUAAUUUGUUGUCUUUUCUUGAUCAAGCUGUGGAACAGGAAUUUCUAACAUCUUCGACACUACAAAUCAUAAUCUCUACUGCUACUGCUGAACAAUUGAUCGACCAACUACAAUCUUUCACCCCUGUAAUUGAUCCUUCCAUGAGUCGCAUAAAUUGGUCAGCUAAGGAAAGGCGUAAAAAGCUUAGAUUGGAUUUGAGCCUUCGUUUGUGAAUCCUUGUGUCUUUUGGUUUUAUUAUUAGCAUAUUAUUUUGUUUUGUUAUUUCUUAUAUUUAUUUAUGUGUGUUUCAGGUUUGUCAGUGUUCGUUGUUUCAGGUGAUGUCUUCUAUAUUCUAUCUUUCUAUCUUAUGACAUUGAGGACAAUGUCUCGUUCUGACUGGGGAGGAGAGGAUAGUAGUUGACAUUAAAAAAAAAAACUGACUUACUAACUGUUUUUGCUAUUAUUAAAAUCAUUUGACAAAACUGUUAUUAGGAUGACAGAGUAAGGAGGAAUUUUAGUGACUCUUGAGACGCAUCUAAGUAAACAUUUUCCAAUGGUUAUUUGCAAUAUUCAUAACAAGGCAUAUCAAAAUACUUCUUGAAAUAAUCAGGUUAACAAACUCUCACAUUGUUAUCACUUGAUUCUGCUCAUAUACUCAUUUAACAAAUAUUUUUAAACCUUCAUUUUCACACACACACUUUAACAUAUGAUUGUGGGUUGCACAUUGGAUUAUUACAUUAUUUAUGUUCUUUUGUUAAAGGUAACAACUAAGGGAUAGGGACAGUCUAUAAUUUGCAAAAAAAAACAAAAAAAAAAACAAAAACAACAAAAAAGAAAAUGAUGAUAAUAAAAACGUAGAUAAGUUUGAUUUCGUAGCCUCCCUAACCUAAGCAAUUAAGCCCGAAGGGGUGUUUUAACACCUAAUACCAUAAAGUCAACUGACUUGGGAGCUAUUGGCCCAAAGCUUGUUACAUGGGUUAAGAAGAAAAGCUUAAGGGAAUCAAACAUUGCACUAUCUAUAUAUCAGUAUCUGCAACCCGAGUUAUUAAGCUCAUAGACCAACUGGUCUGGGAGUCAUUAGCCGAAAGCUUGUUACAUGGGUUAAAGAUGCAUUGUGUUUUAAGUUAUAUGUAUAUAUAUUGAAAAAAAAAAGAGAAAAAAAAGAAGCUAAUAAUCCCAACCCAAAGAAGUUAACCUUAAAUAUUAGAACAUAAUAUUGUUUUCUUCCAAUAAAAGCCCCAUCAUCUAUGUUUUCAUUUGUUUAAGAGGUAUUGGGCAGAUAUAUAAAUUUAAUGGGAGUUUGUUUAUCUGGAUAGAUUAAUGGAAGUUGAAUGAUGAAUGCCUUGCUUUGUGGAAUUUCCAAAUUGUUUUUCUAUUUUAAUGCUUUGAUUACUAGGGACUAGUAAUAAGCUGGUUGGGGGGUGUGAUUGGUACUUAAAAGUGCAUUUUUAUCAAGGUUUUAUAUCAUCAUUUUGCACUUGAAGUAUCAAUAACUCCUUAACUAAAGCAUGUUUUAUAAUAACAUAUCUAAUAAUAUAAGAUACCUUUAAUUUAUGGUAAAGGUUCAUCUUAAAUGCAGGCCUAUCAUAUAAAUGAAAGAAUUGAUUGAUGAGUUGAAGUACUGAAAUUGAAAGGACAAAGAGAUGGCCAAACUUAGAAAAGAGAUGCUGGUGCAGUCCAAACUAGAACACUGUUCGGUAAUUGGGUCAUAUUUGGAGCUGCAGAUCUUGGAUUUAGGUCAAUUUUAUAUGGAUGGAAAGAUAAGACAUAGGCCUACACCUUUCCUGUGGAGCCCAAGAUUUAACAAGGCCGUUUGCAAGUCUAAAUUGUAGCAACAAUGAAGAAGUCCGAAUCUGUCCUGCAGCCCAGACACUGUUUAGUGUUCAGCCCAUAUCUCGAGUUCUAGAAAUCCAAAUGAUCUCAAAUUUUUACCCUAGAAAGAUGAGACAAUUCUCUAGAACUUUCAUGAUUUAAGUUUGUGCAAAUUAUGACGUCAUCAAUGACGUUUUUGGCAGACAAGAAGAUAAGGAUUGUCACCAAGUCAAGAUGUGGCCACCCACUCAUCAAUUAGUCAACAAAUCAAUAGUUCCGAAUUUUGGCCUAUAAAAGGAGGCAUUUGCCAUGUAUUUAGGCAUCUUGGUGUUCAGAUCAAGAUCAUGCUCUUGCUCUCUCUUUAUAUUUUGUAAUGCUUAAGUUUUGCUUAUAUUAAUUUCUUGCUUAUGCUUUUCAUUUCCUUUCCUUGUUUCUUUAUGUUUCUUUCUUUCAUUAUGUUUAACUAAGUUAAUUAUGUCAAGGUGAAAAGGGUACACUAAUGGUGUAAGAAUAAGUAUAAUAUAAACUUAACAUGGACCUUAAUGUUGGAUACUAACAUGCUUUAUAUUUGUUAUCUUGUUCACUUUUAAUACUUUGCUUGUUAAAUGGUUAAUCUAGAUUUAUGUUGUAUAACACAUGGUACAACAAAUACUUGGCACUUUCAUAGCCCAUACUGUAUGGUAUAACCGACACCUGAGCUAUGAAAGGAACUUGAUUUGUUGUUAACAUAAGUAAUAAUCAUGAAUGUCUGACAACAUUUACAAGUAUUAGCAUUAUUCAAAUAAGAUAACUAAUGUAAUCAUGUUAACAAUUUAUAAUAUGAUUGGAACCUCUUUUGUGAAUAAUAAGAGUUUAUACUAUACUUGUUUGAAAUACCAUUAGUGGAUCCUCUAACCUUGACAUUUGUUGUUAUCAUUGUAUCAUUGUUUAAUCCUUAUAUCAAUAUCACAUCUCAAAGUUCUCAUCAACUUCUUCUUCCUCCUCUUUAUUAUUAUUAUUAUUAUUAUUAUUACUAUUAUUGUUGUUGUUAUUUUGUUGCUGUUAACUAUAAUUUAUACAAUUAACCUCCCUGUGGUUCGACCCCGGUCUUACCGGGUUAUUUAUUACUUCGACACUCCUGCACUUGGGAGAAGACAUCAAUCUUUUGGUCGUGUCAGUGUGCUUGUCUGAACUCUAUUUCAGACAGAUAUUUUCCUCUCACUGCAUUUUUAGGUGUGGGUCAUCCAAGAUUAGAGAAUAUUGACAAGUUCCCACUUAAAGGCACUUCACCACCAUCAUCAUGCCGUGAAACAAGUCCAAAUUGUAGCAACAACAAAGAAGUCCGAAUAUGUCCUGCAGCCCAGACACUGUUAAGUGUUCAGCCCAUAUCUCAAGUUCUAGAAGUCCAAAUGAUCUCAAAUGUUUACCCUGGAAAUAUGAGACAAUUUCCUAGAACUUUCAUGAUUUAUGUUUGUUCAGAUUAUGACGUCACCAAUGAUGUUUUUGGCAGACAAGAAGAUAAGAAUUGUCACCAAGUCAAGAUGUGGCCACCCACUCAUCAAUUAGUCAACAAAUCAAUAGUUCCAAAUUUUGGCCUAUAAAAGGAGGCAUUUGCCAUGUAUUUAGGCAUCUUGGUUUUCAGAUCAAGAUCAUGCUCUUGCUCUCUCUUGUAAUGCUUAAGUUUUGCUUAUAUUAAUCUCUUGCUUAUGGUUUUCAUUUCCUUUCCUUGUUUAUUUAUGUUUCUUUCUUUCAUUAUGUUUAGCUAAGUUAAUUAUGUCAAGGUGAAAAGGGUACACUAAUGGUGUAAGAAUAAGUAUAAUAUAAACUUAACAUGGACCUUAAUGUUGGAUACUAACAUGCUUUAUAUUUGUUAUCUUGUUCACUAUUAAUACUUUGCUUGUUAAAUGGUUAAUCUAGAUUUAUGUUGUAUAACACUUGGUACAACAAAUACUUGGUACUUUCAUAGCCCAUACUGUAUGGUAUAACCGACACCUGAGCUAUGAAAGGAACUUGAUUUGUUGUUAACAUAAGUUAUAAUCAUGAAUGCUUGGCAACAUUUACAAGUAUUAGCAUUAUUCGAAUAAGAUAACUAAUGUAAUCAUGUUAACAAUUUAUAAUCUGAUUGGAACCUCCUUUGUGUGUGGUUUCCAAUUAAAUACUAAGAGUUUAUACUAUACUUGUUUGAAAUACCAUUAGUGGAUCCUCUAACCUUGACAUUUGUUUUUAUCAUUGUUUAAUUCUCAUAUUGAUCUUCCAUCUCAAAGUUCUCAUCAACUUCUACUUCUUCUUCUUCUUCUUCAUUAUUAUUAUUACUAUUACUAUUAUUAUUGUUGUUAUUGUGUUGCUAUAAUUUAUACAAUUAACCUCCCUGUGGUUCGAACCUGGUCUUGCCGGCUUAUUUAUUACUUCGACACUCCUACACUUGGGAAAAGACAUCAAUCUUUUGGUCAUGUCAUCAUUGUAAAAGUAAAAUGUUAAAAAUAUCAUUUUAAAUAAAUAUAAAAUCAUUUUUUAAAUCAAAAGGCAAGUUCAAUUUUCCAAAAUUCCACCGGGGGAAAAUAUUUUGGUAAAAGAAAUGAAUUUAGUUUAUUAAAUCAUGCAAGGCUUCAAAGGUGUAUUUGUGAUUUCUUUACGGGGAACCCCUUUCAAGAUAUUUGGUUGUAAAUCAAAUGAAAAAAAAAUGUAAUUGGAAGACAAUCUCAUUAUUUCAUUGAAAUUUUAGAAGGGUGGCUCAAUAAUAAAGACUUUAAACUAACAUCUUGAGCUAUGAUUACUAGCAAGGUAACACAUAAAAGAGCUAAACACUUAGCAAUCAUUGAUUGGAGUUUCUAGAAUCUUCCAACAGUCCCUCUCCUAUGAAUUCCUCAACAGAGGCACCUUUCCAAUAGUCAUUUGAGGUCACAUAUAGACCAGUCUUGACCUAAUGACACUGUAGCUUCAUCUUCAUGACUAGUGAUCUCUAGAUGUCUUUGUUUUGGUAGUUCUUGCUCUUGCCUUUGUAACCACUUUUGAUAUUGUGAACGUCAAUUUCUUUCCUUUUCCCAGUGAAACUUUUCUCUUUAGUCGAGUCAGCAAUCCUUCCUAACCGGAUGACUUGUUCAAUCCUCUCGGCUAUAGCAACCGAGUCAGAAAAAUGUUGUGCAUAGCUUUCAAUCAGGUAUUCAAAGUAUGGGGCCUUGAAAGUGUUGGCAAACAAAUUGAUCAUCUUUUUUUUUCCAACAAAGGAAGAUUAACUUGUGAAGUUGCCUCACGCCAUCUUUGGGCGUAUUCCCUUAUGGACUCAUUAUUGUCCUCCUCUAUAGCUUGCAAGCUUGACCUAUCAGGGCCCACGUCCAUAUUGAACUUAUAUUGUCUAAUGAAGGCAUCAACUAAGUCCUUUCAUUUUUUUACCUUAGUAUUGCCCAACCGCAUAUACCAAGUAAGGGCAGCAUCACUCAAGUUGUCUUGAAAAAAGUGAAGCAGCAGUUUGUCGUCACAGACCACCUCAGCUAUUUUGUUGCAAUAUACAUUGAGAUGAGUUACAGGACAUUGAUUUGAUGAAUUUAGGCACUCUAAAAGUUUUGGGAUGAUCACAUUGGGCACUCAACAAAUCUCAACAAUUCAUGUAGGCUAAUUCCUUUGAAUGCCCUUAUCCUUUGUUCUGGGGCAACCAUUUUAUCCAGGCCAUCUUUUCUCACCAUCUUGUCUUUUUGAGAUUCCUUCAUUAUAAAAUCAAUGGUAGACGACCUUUUUAUGGGAUAUGCUGGUUGAGCAAUUUGAGAAUACAUAGUCUAUUGAGAUUCAAAUGACACCUCUUUUUCCCCUAGAUUCUGCGGAUUUGGGUGCAAAAGUUCACGUUGAGCUGUAAACUUUGCAUCUAUGAAUUUAGAUCCUAAGGCCUAUUCGAGUAGACUAGUAAGCCUUGCAACUUCUUCUCUAAGACUUCUCAACUCUUUUCGAUGUUGAACUUCCAACUGAGGUUUUUCUUCAUUAUCCAUUUGUCUUUUUCACAGUCAAGUGUUAUAGGUGUGUUUCAAUAGCGAACCUAUAUUUCAACCCACUAAAUGAAAGUUAUGCAAUCAUGCGCAAGUGAGGACACUAUGAGCAAGGAAAAUGCAGAUUCAAUGUGGUCUCGCCCUUCAUGGGGUGGCAAUGGUCACUAUUCAUGGAUUUUAGGAACCUGAUGUCGUUAUCAUGCCAACGAGGGGAUCCUUGUCCAGUCUUGCUUAAGUUUGAGCUUUCAGCUUUCAAUUUAAGUUUAUCCUCUUCUGUCAACUAUAACAACUCAAACUCUUGUAUCCUAUAUAAUGGUCAUUUAUCAUCCACCAAUGGUCUUGGAAUUCAAGAUGCCGCAUGUCGGGCUAGCCAUAGUGAGACUAUACAGGGGACAACCUAGUAGGAGAGUUCUAGUCGUUUAAGUGUAUUAAAGGAUAGGUCACUAUCUAGUCUCAAAGGGUCUCUCAUAUGCUCAAUAAUCGUCCUUGAAAGGUCGAUACGAGGCUUACCAGUAGUGUGAAGAUAGAGGUCCUAAGUAAUAUCAGAUCGGCGUAUCAAUUACUAUCGAGUAAACAAUCAAGCGAAAAUUGGAUGGUUUCACGAGUCUUGCUCAGGUUAAAGCCAUUGGGGUAUUGUUACUUCCCCACCUAUCAUAAAUUUCAACGUGUGUGCUCUUGAAGUGAUUCAUGACAAUAUGGAUGUGUGCUAAAGCGGUAAAAAACGAUAACCAUAUAAACACAACACAACAAACAUUAUAGCAAUUGACAAAUAAAAAGCAAAGCUUAGUCCUAUAAUUCCCCAGUGGAGUUGUCAUUCUGUCACACCUAGACAUCGCAGCGACCAAUAAAAAAUAUUUGGAAAAAGAACAGAUAUCUGGCAUCUUGUUUUUUGGGGGAAAAUGUCUAGUUCAAGGAGUCGUCACCUAAUAUUAUGGUCACUAGGAACCUUAAUUGGUCAACAGAGAUUCUAUGAUAUGAGACUAAUUACAUGAAAGGGAAGAUGUUAUCACCCUUUAGGCAUCCUACAUGAGACAAACUACAUUGCUUGUUUUGUCUAAAAUUGCUAAGAAUUGUUUUCCUCUUUUUCUAAUUUUCCUAAAAUGUUCCUGACUCUGACGUCAAUGAACAUUUAUUUACGAAUAUUUCUAAUUCUGGCAUUGGUAAAUAUAGCACAACCCAAAACAUGUGAUACUCCUGACUCUUACGCUAGUGAAUAAACCUGCAAAAUUUGAGUUUUAAGAAAAGGAAGCUAUUUUUAAUUUUAAUUUUUUUUGUUUUUUUUUGCUCGAUCUAGCCCAGCCAUACGGGUUGGGCUGGACCUAGUGGCCCAACCUGGUGAAUGGCCUAAGCCAGUGACCUGACUAGCCACUGUUGCACGCAUGCUUGAAUGGUUCACGCAUGCAUGCAACAGUAAUCGAUUAAUUAUUUUAGCAAGGAAGGAAGGAAACUUACCUGGACGUGUCGAUGCUGGAGGCAAAGUCGAGAGAGAUGAUCGGAUGACACUAGAGACCGAUGGCAGGGCAAACAUCUCGACUUUCCCUUCAUUCUUCUGUCUUUCUCCUUUCUCCAAGUCUUUCACUAUUAUGAAAGGGGAAUGGAGUUGUUGGCCGUAGAAUCAUGGUGGGGAGAGAAGAGCGCCCCUUGACACAACCAAAGAGUUGAUGUCUUAUCCCAAGUGCAUGAGUGUCGAAGUAAUAAAUAACCCAGCAAGACCAGGGUCGAACCACAUGUAGGUUAACUAUAUAAACUACAAAUAAAGAAAUACAUAAUAACAGAAAAGGAGUUGAAGAGAGCUUUGAGAUGUGAUAUUGAUAUAAAGAUUAAACAAGGAUAAAAUAAUUGUCAAGGUUAGAUGAUCCACUAAUGGUAUUUCAAACAAGUAUAGUAUAAACUCUUUUUAUUACUCAACUGGAAACCACACACAAAGGAGGUUCCAAUCGGAUUAUAAAUUGUUAACAUGAUUACAUUAGUUGUCUUAUUCGAAUAAUACUAAUACUUGUAAAUGUUGUCAGGUAUUCAUGAUUAUAACUUAUGUUAACAAUAAAUCAAGUUCGUUUCAUAGCACAGGUGUCGGUUAUACCAUACGAUUGGGCUAUGAAAGUGCCAAGUAUUUUUUGUACUAAUGGUUAUAAAACAUAAAUCUAGAUUAACCAUUUAAUAAGCAAAGUAUUAAAAGUGAACAAGAUAACAAAUACAAAACAUGUUAGUAUUAAACAUUAAAGUCCUUGUUGAGUUUAUACUAUACUUAUUCUUACACCAUUAGUGUAACCUUUUCACCUUGACAUAAUCAACUUAGCUAAACAUAAUGAAAGAGAGAAACAUAAAUAAACAAGAUAAAAACAUAAAUAAGAUAUAAGUUAACUAAGUAAAGGAAAUGAAAUGAAAAGCACAAACAAGAGAUUAAUAUAAACAAAACUUAAGCAUUACAAAAAUAUAAAGAGAGAGCAAGAACAUGAUCUUGAUAUGAAAACCAAGAUGCUUAAAUACAUGGAAAAUGCCUCCUUUUAUAGGCCAAAAUUUGGAACUAUUUAUUGUUACUCAUUUUUGGACCCCACGUACUGAAGAUGGUGUGUACCCCUUUUGAACCAAGUGCAAGAGUGUAGCUCAUGUUUGAUGGAAAAUUAACAAAAACAGAGGAGAAAGAAAUAUUUUUUCGAACUGUGUUUGAGUUAUUUUCUACUCCUUUUAUCCCUCCCUUUGCUGCCAAAAGCAUCAGGUCUUUUUAGGCUGAUAAGGAGUCUUCAUAUAAAUCCCUCAGAAUUUGCAUUUUUUAAAAAAAACUGAUUCUGUUGUUGUUGCAAAUUUUGUUCCAACUUAGGCUCUGAUUUUGACUUGGUUUCGUAUGAUAUCUGACCAUCCUAGCUAUAUUCUAUCACUUAUGACAUGUUGAAAAAUUGACCUACACCUUUAUUGGGUCCUAGGGAUCACUGUUCUUAGGGCAGACUCUCAGUCAGAUUUGGAUGCUCGACAUUAUUAGAUCAAGAACCUUUUUGACCAACCAUAUUCUUGCCAGAUUCUGUUAUCUAAAAAUAUUUUAUCUUACUUUGAAUCCUUCAUCAAAGUUUUAGUCCGGGACACGUAGAUGAAUUUGGGCUUUUGAAUUGCUUGAUUUCGAUAUCAGAAGCUCAAGAUAUUCCUAUUUGAAAUCUAGCGUGAAAACAUAGAAUCCUACCGCAAGAAGAUUUCCAGCCGACUUUGGUUGCAAUUUUGUUAUUCAAAACAAAUUUAUCCUUCAUGAAAGUUGUAGCUCUACAAGUGUAGAUGAAUUUGAGACUUUUGAAUCGCUUGAUUUUGAUAUCAAAAGUUCAUACUAUUCCUAUUUGAAUAUCUAACGUGAAAGUAGAGAAUUUUGCCGCGAGAAGGAUCCUGACCUGAGUUUUGCACUAAAGACUCUAUUUUCAUCACAAAUUUUGUUGAUUUGUUCUUAGGUCAUACUCUCAGUCAUAUCGAGAUGCUCUGCAUUGUCAGUUUCUAAAUUAGAUCAGGAGACCCUUUUUGACCAACCAGAUUACUGCCAGAUUCUAUUCUCUAAAACGAUUUUAUCUCACUUCGAAUCCUUCAUCAAAGUUGUAGUCUUGGACGUGUAGAUAAAUUUGGGCUCUUCAAUCGCUUGAUUUCGAUAUCAAAACCUCAAGAUAUUCCUGUUUCAAUAUCUAGUGUGAAAGUAGGGAUUCCUGUCGCGAGAAGGUUUUUUGCCCGAGUUUGCAAUGGCCUUAAUUUUAAGAUGCUUAAAGUUUGAAGACCAAUUGUAGGCCAAUUUGAAGCCCUUUUUUGGAUCGAGGAUCAAAUGAAAAAGGCGCUAAAAUAAGAAAGUUGAUUGAAGAUAAAAUUAGAAGGAAGAAAUUGAAGAACCACGUUUUUUUUUCUGCAUAACUAUCCCGGUUUUUCUUUCUUUUUAUCUGCAAUUUCCUGUUUGGUUUCAAUGUUUCUCUUGUUGGAUUGGAGAGCUGCAGACCAUAUUUUUAUUGCCUCAUUUUAAAGGAAACAACUGGUGCCUCAUGGUCCCAGCUAUGGAAGGAAAGAAAGGAGUUGUACCACCCUUUGAUCAAUGGAAACUAAGUGCUGAAAAUCAGAAUAGGAAUCAGAAUAUUUCAAUUUCCUUUUUGUGUUUUUUUUAUUGCAAAUUAGUAGGUAUUUGCAUCCUAGAAUUAAUGCAUUGAAUCUUUUCUAAAUAGAGAUAUAUUAGACUAUAUAUAAGCCCCUCUAAUUACCAAGCGAAAGGAGGAGAAAAAGAAAGAAAGAGAAGAGGAAAACAGAAAAAGAAAGACAAGAAAAAAAGCAAGAGAGGCCGGCAGUAGGAGGAAAAAAAACGCAGAAAACAGAGGGAGUUUUCUUUCUUGCAUUCUUGCGUUACUGUGAGAAGGAGAAGGAAAAAAAGAGAGACGGAGGCAAAACAAGGAGAAAGAAAGGAGGCCUUUCUUCGAUACUAAAAAACCUUCGUUGGAACGUGAAAGAAAUAAAAAAAAGGAUACAGAGCAGAGAAGAAGAAAAGUGGGGGAAGAAAAAAAAAGAGAAAAAGAGAGGCAAGCGGCAGGAAAAACAAGAAAGAGCAAGAGAACACAAACUCCACUAGCACAUCACAACUUCAACGUCAUUGUUUUUGUCCGUCAGGAGGCACGCGAGAGCUGUUUCUUGGUCUUUUGUUUCAUUUUCUGCAAAACAGGAUCUGCAGGUUUCUUCCAUAGUGUUCCAGCUGCGAGAACUUUAGGGACCCUCACGUUCUUUUCUCUUCUUACGCCUGUUGGAGGAAAGGAUCUGCAGGUGUUUCUUCCCUAGUGCUCCAGCUGCAAGAACUUUAGGGACCCUCACGUUCUUUUCUCUUCUUACGCCUGUUGGAGGAAAGGAUCUGCAGGUGUUUCUUCCCUAGUGCUCCAGCUGCAAGAACUUUAGGGACCCUCACGUUCUUUUCUCUUCUUACGCCUGUUGGAGGAAAGGAUCUGCAGGUGUUUCUUCCCUAGUGCUCCAGCUGCAAGAACCUUAGGGACCCUCACGUUCUUCUCUCUUUUUAUGCUUGCUGGAGGAAAGGUUAGCCGGCCAUGGCUUUGUCUUUUUGUUUAUAAUAAAGCAUGCUUUCCCAGUUUUUUUUUCUCUCUGUUGGCAUGGUGAAACGAAUAAGGCAGUUUGUUUUUAAGAUGAGGAAUUAGUGGGGUUGUGAGACACGGACAUGUGGUUUUGAGUUCAAAAUUUCAGUUUUAGAACUUUGGCUCCCUCAUGCAUAUGGGUUUAAUUCUUUUCCAGUUACAGAAUUUUAAGCUGAUUUGGCUUUGAACGGUUUUUUACGAGUUGUUUCAAGCUUCUUGUAAAUCUUAUAAUAUGUAUGAUGGCUUGCUACUUUUCAUUUUGAUGUUUACAUCUAAUUGUGAUGUUUGCGUUUUGCCAAAAAAAAAAUGUUUACUUGUGUGUUGCAUACGACCAAUACCCUAAUAUAUUUUGAACGUUUUUUUUUAUAAAAAAUAUUGGAAGUUUUGAAAAUGUAUUUUCACAUGGAUUUCUUAAACACAACAAAAAUUAUUUUCUUGCAUUUCUGGAUUUUACAACAUGUUUGUAAAACUCCAAAGGGUAUUGACUAAUAUUCCAAAAAAUACAAAAAUCUUAUUUUUGGGGGAAAUUCAUCUAUUAUUCACCGUUAAUGUUUGGAUAAAGAAAUCCCAAAGGGAUGACUAUUCAAAAUAUUAUUGAGAAUAACUUGUUAUUAUUCACUGUUAAUAUUUGGAUAAAGAAACCCUCAGUGGUAAAUAUCAAAAAUAAUUUUCUAGGAAUAAUAAGUCAUCACGCAGCCUUAAUUAUAAUCGAGGACAUUUCAAUUUUUGACUCCAUGGUUUACAAGCCGUGAGAGUAUGAAACACUAAGACAAAAAUAAGCUUUUAAAGAGCCCUCAAUUUUCUUAGAUUUCUAAAUUUUUGUUCUUCGUCCUUGUGAUUUACGAGUCGCAAACUCUUGAAAUACUAAGGGAAAAAUGAGUUUUUAAAGCACACGGAAUCUCCUUGGAUUUCUAUCUUAAUAAAUUUAGUUUGAAUCAAACACAGAUUUCAAGAGAUCUGUAUUGGUUCUCCUUGGCACUUUGUAGACAUAUCUAAAGGUAUGAUCCAUGUUGGCCAAGGGUUCUUACUUUAGACUUUGAACCCAAAUCCAUUCAUCAUAACAAACCUAUCCUAGGAAAACUAAUUAAGAGACACCAACACCAUAGCAAUUAUAAUGCAAGCCAAACACCAAGCAGCUUACCUUAGGUAGGGCAUACUAGGGGUGCUAAUACUUUCCCUUUACGCAACAAGUCCCUUGCCUUAGAAUUUCUGAAAGACCACCUAGUGACUAUAAUACUAGGUGGCGACUCCCUUACUCACAAAAACAAAAACAACUUGAAAUUAAUUGAGGGUCACCACGACACCACGACACCGCGCUCCGCCGUGAUGGUGCGAUACUAUUGAUUUGAUGACUAUUUAUUGAGUGGGUGGCCACAUCUUGACUUGGUGACAAUCCUUAUAUUCUUGUCUAAACAAAAUGUCAUUGCUAACGUUAGAAUUUGAAAGUUCUAGGAAAUUGUCUAAGCUUUUCAAAAAAGUAGAAUCACAUUUGGACUUCUAGAACUCAAGAUAUGGGAUGAACACUGAACAGUGUCUGGGCUGUAGGACAGAUUCCGACUUCUUAGUUGUUGCUACAAUUUGAACUUGAAAACGGCCUUUUUGAAUCUUGGACUCUCAUGAAAGUUUUAGGCCCAUGUCUUAGCUUUCCAUCCAUAUAGACCAGACCUAAAUCCAAGUUCUACAGCUCCAGGUAUGAUCUAAUAACUGAAUAGUGUUCCAGUUUGAACUGAACCAACAUCUUUUUUCUAAGCUUUCCCUUCUCUUUGUCUUCUCAAUUUCAGUAGUUAAACUCAUCAAUCAAUCCUUUGAUUUCUAUAAUAGGCUUGCAUUUAAGAUAAACAUUUACCAUAAAUUAAAGGUAUCUUAUAGUAUCAGACUUGUCAUUAUAAAACAUGCUUUAGCUAAGGAGUUAUUGAUACUUCAAGUAAAAAAUGAUGAUAUAAAACCUUGAUAAAAAUGCACUUUUAAAUACUAAUCACACCCCUCCAACCAACUUAUUACUAGUCCCUAAUAAUCAAAGUGUUAAAAUAGAAAAAACAAUUUGCAAGUUCCACAAAGCAAGGUAUUCAUCAUUCAACUUCCAUUAAUCUAUCCAAAUAAACAAACUCUCAUUAAAUUUAUAUAUCUACUUUAUACUUCUUAAACAAGAUAUUAAUAAACCUUUUUUUUUAUGUGUGUCGCACGUCACCCGUGCAGCAUCGUUUGGCGAUUUUUGUUUGCUUGCUUUGAUUCAUUGGGAGUCACCACCUAGUAUUUAAUUGAGGGUUACUAGGAAAACCAAAUGUACUGGUCUUGUCAGAGAUUCGCGGGUAAUGUACUGGUCUUGUCGUUGGGAGUAACAACAGGCAGUUGAUUUUAAUAUUUCUUUCUUUUUUGGACCAAAUCGGUUGACAGUCUUCUUUCCCUUCUCCUUCUUUGGAUCUACUUUGUUACGGGUCAGUUUGACAUGGGUUUCGUCUUCUUCUCCUCUGCUUCGGGUGGUAGGUCUGGUGGUUGUAGAAGGGGCGGCGGCGUUGAUGAUCUUCGCUCCUGUGUUUUUUUCUAAUGUUUCAAAAUUACCCCCACCCUUUUGUAUGUGUUGGAAACUCCUAUUUAUAGGCAAAAAUGUUGCUAGGUCCCCAAACUUGGUCCCUCAACUUCUUUCUUUUUUUAUAAAUUUGAUUUUUCUUAUUUUUUUAGGAUUUUUUCUUAACAACAUCGACUCGAAAGAGGAAAAUCGGUGAUUUUAAAAAUAAAGCAUUAAAAGUCGAAUGCGUUCUAAAAACCUUUGAAAAUUUAAAUUCUUUUGAGAUGAUGCUAAAAAUGCUAAAAAUGAUACAAAUAUAUUAAAAAACAUAUUUUUUUGGAUUUUCAUUGUUUUUCGCUGUUUUUCAAUUUUUUAUGAAAAAUUAUCAAAACAUGGGUCAAAAAUUGGGUAGCAACAAUGUGCUCAAUUUAUGAAAAACAUAAAUGAUGGGGCUUUUAUUGGAAGAAAACAAUAUUCUAUUCUAAUGUUUUUCUAAGGUUAACUUCCUUGGGUUGGGUUAUUAUCUUUUUUUUCUUUUUUUUUAAUAUAUAUACAUAUAACUUAAAACAAAAUGCAUCUUUAACCCAUGUAACGAGCUUUCAACUAAUGACUCUCAGACCAGUUUGUCUUAUGACAUUAGAUGUUGAGACACCUCUACGAGCUUAGAAACUCGAGUUGCAAAUACUAAUACAUAGAUAGUGCAAUGUUUGAUUCCCUUAAGCUUUUCUUUUUAACCCAUGUAAUAAGCUUUGGGCCAAUAGCUCCCAAGUCAGUUGACUUUAGGGUAUUAAGUGUUAAAAUACCCUUCAGGCUUAAUUGCUUAGGUUAGGGAGGCUACGAAACCAAACUUAUCUACAUUUUUAUUAUCAUCAAUAUUAUUAAUUUGUUUUUUUUUUUUGCAAAUUAUAUACUAUCCAUUUAACAAAAGAACAUAAAUAAUGUAAUAACCUCGAGAAAAAUAAUAAAUAAAUAAAAGUGAAGAAAUUCAUGCAUAUGGUUAAAUAAAAACAGAAAUACAGAAAUUUGAAAUAAUUCGAGACAUUAUAAUAAACCCGGUACUAUUGAGGGUUGGAUUUAAUGGAAGAGAAUAAUACACUUAAAGGAAAAGGGGGGGCCUAAAUGCAAAUAAGGGAAAAUAUAGAGUAUAACUACUCUCUCCUUACCAAAAAAAUCUGUAGGAACCAUAAGGAGAGAAGAUAGGGAGUUUUAUACCCAUUCUUGAGAAAUCAAGAGAGAAACAUUAAAAUUUCAAGAACCCAUCCAAGAUUAAGAGUUUAUAGAUGGGAUAAACACUUGAGAGCAAAGGAUUACCAAGAAAUUGAACAAGAAAAAAAGAAAGGAGGGAAAUUGAACAAGAAGAAAAGAAAGGAGGGAGUUGAAAAUCUUCAACUGGUUGAAGAUCAAAAUCUUAAUUUGUACCGGGUAAGGUAUUCUAAACAUGAUCUUAAAAAAAUUCAUUCUUUAAAUUCGAUAAAGAAUUUAUGCUUGGAUAUUGAAUCAUAGGUUAGGGUUCUUAGACAUAAAUUGGGAAAAAAGUACUUAUUGUUGAGAUUAAGUUAAUUCAUGUGUGUGGUAUGUAGUUUAUGAAACUAUUGUGUGAAGGGGAGGGGGAGACAACUCUGGACAAACUUGUCUCCUGACUUUUGGUGAGAUUUCGGGUAGAAGGAUGAGGGAAUUAGGAUUGGAUUCCUUUAUAGAAAUUGUAGAUUUGAAUGUUAGCUAACCAAGGAAACUGGUCUUGCUGAAUUUGGAGAUGUAGAACUCCAGUUAUGGGUUACCAACCGAGACUGAGUUGUGACUGAUUAUGUAGGGCGGUAGGAUUAAUUAGUUGAUGAGCAAUUUUGACUAUCUUGGAAGCAAAACUAGGUUCUCCUUCCUUUAGAGAACUGGUAGCCUCGUGUCUUAGCUUUCUAACGAGAUCAAUCUCACUUGAAAUAGAGUUUUAGAACUUUAGAUAUAGUUAAAAAUCUGAUGAGUGUUCAGACAGUAACAGUUAGAAAUUGGACAGUAACAGUUGGAAAUUGAACAGUAACAGUUCAAAGUCAGACAGUAACGGUUCAAAGUCAGACAGUAACAGUUGGAAAUUAGACAGUAACUGUUCAAAGUCAGACAGUAACGGUUCAAAUCAGACAGUAAUAGUUAGAAAUUGGACAGUAACAGUUCAAAGUCAGACAGUAACAGUUGGAAAUUGGACAGUAACAUUUCAAAGUUAGACAGUAACAGUAGACUUUCAUGUGAAUAUUAUAAAUAAAAAUGUAAAAGAAUAGAGUCAUACGAACACUUACACAUUGAGAUACUAACUCUAAAAAUAUACAUGAUAUAUGUAUGUAUGUUAUUAUGAGAAAAUGAACGUGUAUAAAAAGUAACAUAUAAGUAAUGGAUAAAUAUGAAUUCUCUAUAAUAUCGGCUUGAAGGAAUCAUAACCAAAAAACUUCCUUGUAAUUUAGGAGGAGCAACCAGGAUUGAAUCUUUUGUUAGGGGAGGUCGUGAGACAGGCGAAGCAGGUGCGUGAUUUUCCUCCUAUUUGCACUUAUAUAAUUUAAAAUUCUUCUGGUGAAUGCAAUUACAAUAAAUGUCGUGUUCAAUGUAAAUAAAGUCUAGCGUAAAUACAAGAUUAGCUCCGGCUAAUGGCAUCCGCGAUAGGAUUGUCGGGAUAUGAAUUACAAGAUUAGCUUAGACUAAUGGCAUCCGUGAUAGGAUUGUCGGGAGAUGAUUGAUAAGUUUAGCUUCGGCUAAUGGCAUCCGUGAUAGGAUUGCCGGGAUAUGAAUUACAAGAUUAGCUUUGGCUAAUGGCAUCCGCGAUAAGAUUACCGGGAUAUAAAUUACAAGAUUAGACUUUGCAAGGUCACCCAGUUCAUGCAAGUAAAUAAGAUUAUUCAAUUAAGAAUAUACAAAUGAGUGUUAAUUGGGUUUAAAAGAUUUACAAGCAAAAUAUAAGUUCUUUGUUAGAAUUCUCAUAGAUUCGAUAGAAAGUUAAUACUUCAUUCGUAUUCAUUACAUGAGCAUACAUAUAUUUUUUAUCAACAUAAUGGUAUGUUUAUUUAUGUAACAGGUCCAUCAAACAUCCAGGAAGAUUAAUAGUUUAGGACUCUACUUGUGAAGCUUAUGUAAAUAUUUAACUUAAACAAAAGGGAAAUAACGUGUUUAUGUAGUAUACUUUUGUGUAAACCUUGAUGUAUUUAUAAAAGUUCAGCUUAGCAUAUAGUAUUUUAGUUAUCUUGUAAUUAACCCUUUGAAACAUUUAGGGACACUUAUUAUGUUGUAAAUACUUUCUUUGCAUGUUAGUAUUCCUUUUCUUUUAAAUUUUAUGAUAUGAUGUUUGGACUAUGUUCAUAUUGAUCUUACUCAUAGGAUAUAUAUAUAUAUAUAUAUAUAUAUAUAUAUAUAUAUAUAUAUAUAUAUAUAUAUAUUGUGUGGAAUUAUGAGGUUUGAUGAUGGGUUGAUCGAGUAAACUGAUAGUAGUCGAUAACUUGAGAUGUCCUAAAUGCAAACGAAACUCUGCCGAAUUUUUUUAGAAAUAAAAAAAAUUACCCUCAAAUAAAGAGGAUAUGUUGGGAUCUUUUAACAUUGAUCGAGUCGUACAGUCGGACUGUUACAGUUGGUAUCAGAGCCCUGGUAUAGGUUCUGGGAAGAAAUCAAAAGAGGUUGAUGUUCAUUAAUUUAUUGCAAGAUGGUACGUACCCGUCAAGAGAUUAGAACAGAUCUAUCCUUUGCAGGGAGGGGGAAUAGAAAUAUAGAUUUUUCUGAGGGACAAGAAGAGAGCCUUUUGGAAGAUACUGCUUCACAUGCACCGGUAGUAUCGACUCAAGCAGGGCAUGAAGAAUCAUGUUCCAGGUGACCUGCCUGAUGGUGAAGAAUGCGAAGAAUUUCACUUGUGAUCUAAUUAUUCCAGGUGACCUACCCGAUGAUUAAAUGCAAUAAAUCUCGCAAGUGGUCUAAUUGUUCCAACCGACUUGCCCAAAGAUGAAGAAUGUACAUAGAGAUUUGUUUUUGUGAAAAAUACAAAGAUUUUUUAGAAAUUGUCUCAUUGUAAUGGGUAACCUACCUAGAUGGAAAAAUACGAGGAUUUUUCAGAAGGGGUCUCAUUUUAAUGGGUGAUCUACCCGGGUGAAAAAAUAUCAAGAUUUUUUGGGUGGCCUAAUUCUUAUGAGCGGCCUUUCCAUAUCAAAACUCAAAGAGUCUCAUUGUGAUGGGUGACUUUAAAAAAAAAUACAAAGAUUUUUCGGGUGGCCUAAUUCUCGUGGGCGGCCUGCCCAGGUCAAAAACAAUUCUCAAAAGUGAGCAAUUUUCACAAGCAUUUUUAGUUUUUGGCCAUUUUAAAGUGGCCUUCCUUUUGAGGGAUCCCAUCGCAGAUUACUCUUAUGAAUCUUUGCAAAACAUAUUGUUCAAUGUCUCAAAGUUUAGAUGACAUGCAUGCAUCCUUACCUGAUUUGAAAUAUAGGUCCACAUUUAUUCUCAAUCUUCUUGUUGGUUGAUUAGUGAGGACUUGAUAUCUCUGAUUUGAUCUUCGUCGUUUGGCUUCUAGCCCACUCGAGUUGGCCAAUAUAAGUCUUUUUACAUAUUUGUUUACACAACUCAGCCUUCAUGGUGCCCAUCGUGACCCAUUUGCAUAAUAGAGAUUUUCUGUUUCGUUGAAUAAUUUGAGAGGAUCAUUUAUUGCUCCCUGUCUAGCUACUAAAAACAUUCGGUGUCACUUGUUGAAAGGAUUGAGCAGCCUUUUGUAAACCAAAAUGUCGCCCUGGUCUUGUUGUAGGAAAUGUUCCUCUCAUUUUUUUUUUUAUAGAAGGGAUCGAUUUUCCUUCUAAACACAAUGUUUCCCCCUUGUACUAGUCAUUGCCUUUGAGUGUGGUCUAUUAACAACUUAAACAAAUAAUGGUUUCGAGGAACAAUUCUCUCAUUUCUCUCAUUUUCAGUUUGGUGAAGGAAUAUUUGUCUUUGAAUGAAUCUUGAAAUCUUGAUCUUGUAUUUUGAAAACAAAAAUUGUUUCAAUGUGAGUUAAAGCAAUUUGCCUUUUGAAAUCUUGCAACUCCCUGGUUAUAUUUCCUGGAAAAGAGAUGACUUGCUCUUGUGUGACGAUAUUGUCAUUGGUGAAAGUACGUGAUGAGGUGACCUUUUUUAUGGGUUUUCAAAGUGAAGGGCUCGAAAAAAAGCUCGAGGUUUUGUUUGAGAAAAAUUUAUCUCUUUUUGAACACUCAUUUUAUCAGCAUGAAUAAUAAUAAGUAGCUUGUUCUCGAUGUCAUGACUCUUAUGAAAAAGUACUCUUUGCAUUUUGAGAGCAUUAUUUACUAUUCCAAGUUGCUUGCUUGCUUGAUUAGAAAAGACUUCUACAGGAACGUAACGUAGGCUGUGAUUUUAGGCCAUGAAAGAAAAGAAUUCAUAAGACUUAAAGAGUGUUUCAGGUUUCAAAGACUAAGGAUCAAUAUCAACAAUUCGACUCUUUAUGUCUUUUAUCUCUUUUUUUCUACUCUUCUUUGAUUUGCCCCCUUUCAUUGUUUUGGCCGGGGCAUGCUCACUCUGUUUAGGCUAUUAGUUUUUCUUGUGAUUUGGAAAUGCCCCCUAUCAUUUGAGUUUCUUGGGCUCUUUUGUCUUUUUGGCUUUCUCACGGCUUUUUCCUUUUUUUUUAUCAUUGAAAUUUUUGUUUGCCCCCAGUAUGGGGUGUAAUUAUAGUCAGGAUUUUCAUGAAAGAAAAAAUUAUUCAGGCUAAAAAAGGAACCACAAGGGAUAUAUUUAUUUCAGAACGUGAAAGGAAUAACAAAGAUGGUAUGUUCUCAUUUUAAGCACAAACAGUUAAGAUCAAUAAACUUUGACCUCGCCCAAUGUGAUGAUUUGGUCUUUUUAAAGGGAUGCAUUUCAUGAAUCUAUGCACAACGAGUCCACUACAUACCAUUAUGCAUAUAUUUAAAACACAUGGCUUAAGAGUCAUGGUGUGAGGGUGAACUCUUAGGUAAACAUUUAGUUAGAUAAAUUAGUGUAUUGAUUUGAAAUAUUGUAUUUUAAUCAUGACUCUUGAUAUGAGAAAUGAUUGGAUAAUAGGUUAGAGACAAGAAUUAAGAAAAACAAAUCUACCAUUGAUUAUACAUGGAUAAUUCGGCAAUUUAAGGGGUAUAAGGGCAUGGAAUUGUUUGAUUGAAUUUAGUCAUUCAUGAAUAGAAUUAUGUUAGUUGGAAUGGGAAUUGAUAGAAUGAAGGGAGAAUUGAGGAGAAAUUUAGAAAGCGUUGCCUUGAUUACUACUAAACUACUCGGCCAAAGUAGAGAUUUUGGGUUUGAGGACAUUUGUUUGAAUUAUUGUAUGAAUUAUGUAGAAUUAAACCAACUCAGAUGAAAAAUGGUCAAAAGACAUAAAAAGUUUGGGAAUUUGAAAAAACAAAUUCCAUUUUCCUUAAUCUUUAUUGUUGACCAAAGAAAUAAUAAAAAGAAGGAUGAAUUCUAUUAAGCAUAUGGAUUAAAUUAGAUAAAUUUAACAUGAAAGGAAGGAAAAUAUGAGGGGGUGAAUUUAAAAAGAUUCAAAAUAAAUGAAGAAUUGAACAAGAAAUCAUUACUAUUUUAAAUUGAAUUUUUGGCAUAGGAGAAUAAAAUAAACAUGUUGAUAGUGAUGUUUGAAUAAUGAGAAUCAAUAGAGACAUUAAGUUAAUUGGAAUAAAUGAAUAAAGUUUAAUUGAUGAAAAAGAAUAUUAGUGUUUAAAGAUUUGAAAGUCUCUUGUUGCGAUGUCGCGUUCGCACAAAUUAAUUACCCUAACUUAAAACACACAAGAUAGUAUAGAGCAAGCAAGGGGUCGAUCCCACGAGGAAGUUUCAAGUCAGAUUUUUAUGUUAUACGUUAUGUAAUUGGGGGGAUUUGGUUUGUGAUUAUCUAAACUAUGGCAGCAAUUAAACUAGCAAACAAAAUCAAUUAAAACCGAAACUUAUCAAGAAAACAAAUCUCGGUCGCAAGCACACAUCCACCUACGGAAAUUAGAACCGAUCCUUGAAAUGAAAAUUGCAGUUUAUGUUCUGAAAUUUUAUCUUUACUUAACGUUGAUUAAUUAACGGAUCCGCCGUAUAACUAAUCCUAACCAACAAACAAUCAAAGUGUCUGCACUAAUGAUUCAAUUUAAUGGUAGCUUUAAGAACUAGAUAAUUUCAUCAAGAUUAACAUACAAGCUGUCCGCAGCUUGUGUUACUUUGUUCAAAUGUUCUCCCUAAGUUCAAUAAUGUAGUUCCGGCACAAUUAUCAAGCUUAGUUGCUUCACAAGUUCAUAUAUCACAACUCCGGUUUUGAUAUUAAACUUAGCAAUAGAUUGUUCACAACAAUAACUUAGAGUCCACUCUAGUAAGCAUUAACAACAAUCAUAGGAAAUAUGCAUAGAAAAACAAUCAUACUCAUUCAUAACAUAAACUGAAAAUAGAAGAAGAAUAAAUCUCACGGUUCUUGAAAUCCAAAGGCUUUUGCGUCCUUGCAACCAAGAAAAGAGCUUAGCCUUGCAUAACUAUUGAACAACUACUUCUAAAGAUUGAAGAGAGCAUGGUUUUUUGGGUUUGUAGAGGAGAGAAUUUGUAUUUAUUCUCUGCUGGCUGCUGCCUCCUUCUGCUCUCCCUCUUUUCUGUUGGCUACCAGCCCCUUCUCUCUUUCUUUUUAUAUGCUAAGAAACCCUAGUGUCUAUUUUACAAAAUAGUCCUUCCUUAAGUUGACAGUUUACAUUUAAGUACUUCAAUAAAUAUUUUCCCUAAAAAAGAGAAAUAGCCUUGCAUGAAAUCUUCAAGCUCUGACUUAGAGGAGCUAAAUUGCUGAUAUAAAAACUUGGAUGUCGGUUUAGAUGCUUCGGAAUGUAAUUUGGACUCAUUUCUUCACGAAACCUGUUUGCUGGCAGAAUUCAGUUGUCAUCUUUGCAAACUCAUAUCUCCCUCAUAUGACAUAUUUUUUGGCUACAUUUUGGAGCGUAGAUAGAUCUUUGAAUGAUGAAUCCAAGAAAUUUGAGUUUGCAUCAAUUGGACUUCUGUAGCUCCAGAUAUUAAAUUUUGAAUGGCCAAAGGUCAACAUUGGCAGCAUGCGAGAUUUGACUUUGCAGGAUAUGAUUUCCAUGAUCUUUCUCUUUUUAUUUUUCUUGCAUUACAUUUCCAGAAAGGUAUGGAUGUUAGCUUUUUAGUGCCACUAGAAUCACUUCAUUUCGAUCUCUAGAACUAACUUUCUGCACAAAACAUCGACUGAAGGUCAAAUCUGCCAAUUAUCUCCAAUUUACUCCUUUUUUGCAUCUGUCAUCCAAAAGUGCCUUCAAAACAUAAAACAAAUAAUAUCAAGGCAUUUUAUAUAUAAAACAUAGGCAAAACACUAGUUAAAUGUGGGUGAAACUAUCAAAUAAUAUGGUUGCAUCAAAUACCGCCACACUUAGCUCUUACUCGUCCUCGAGAAAGGAUAGGUAAAAUCAAAUUGAAGUUAAAUUAAAUCAAAUCAAUAUGACUAAUCUCCUAAUCUCCCAUCAAUAUCCAAGAAUAUAUCCAUUAUAAACAAGAACACAAUUAAGAAGGAUAAAUAGUAUAAACUUUCAUGAAUUUAUUUACAUGCAAACUUCAAAACUCAAUUAAUCGUCGGGAUUUAAAUGAAAUCUAUGCCAUGCCAAAGUGAUAGGUCCUCUCAUUGAUAUACACUCCAACACUCAUGUGUUUAGGGUUUAUGUGUUUAAAUCUCUCAAAUUCAAUCAAAGAGUAUGUUUUACCAUAAGCUUGCUUUUCAAUCUCAUCUCCAUUACUAACAUAUUACAAAUAAUGCAUGAAUCAAAAGGUCUUAUUUUCUGGUUGUAAUGGGGCUAAGGUUAAGGUGAGGUAAAAGAGAGUAAAAGAAAAGGUUCAAACCAAAGAAAGUAGAGCAUUCUGAAAAAAAUGAUAUUUCAAACAAGAUAUUCCAUCAAAGCACAUAAAUUUUUCAUCUUUAAUCACCAAUGCUUAACUUCUUUUGAUUUCAAGCUCUUUCAACAUAAAAUCUUAAGAACAUAAAGGAACACUUUUUUUUUUCUUUUUUUGUCUCUCUCUUUUUUUUUUACCUUUGGCAACUUUGCCCAUCUUUUCAUCAAGCAUUACUUCUUUUUCCUUUUCACAUAAUUUUCAACCAUAAUUUCAUGAGAUAUCACAAAUAUAUGCUCUACUAAUCCUUAGCUAGGGGAAUAGGAAAACAUAUAAAAAGUUAAGGCUUAUACAUGGAUAAAACAAAGAAAAGAUAAACAAGCUCAAAAGGGGCUGACUAAGGAUAAUAUGCUUUAGGUUGGCUUUUUGGCUCAAGUGGUUAAAAUUUCUAAUACCUUUAUCAUCUUCAUGUAUAUAUGUAAUGCGAAUGUAAUCUCAACAAGAUAUGAAGCAAGUUCUAGAGAUACAUAUCAUUGAAAUAAUGCACAAUAAAAGAAUAUAAUGUUGAAGGCUCAAAAGCUUGCAUUGGUAUAACACUAUAAAGUCAACAUGACAUAUUCUCAAAGUCAAUCCCUAAACCAAUUAAACCUUAAAAUUUGCAUGCAUACUCCUUCAUUUGAUUUAUAUCUUCAUCUAUCUCAAUUAAUUCUCAUACAUAAUACUCAUAUUCUCAAAAACCAAUGGGAGUUCAAAAGAUCAAACAUAAAUUUUUUUUUUGUUUUUUGAAAAAUAAAAAAGAAAACCAAAAUUAGAAAACCAACAUUCUCCCAAUACCCCCACACUUAAAACACAACAUUGUCCUCAAUGUUGAAAUAAAAGAAAAGGAAUAUAAGAGAAUGACAAAGAUAAAGUAAAAUACGAAAAAUAAAAGAUAAGGGAAAAAGAAAGCAAAUCUGAAUUUUUUUUUAUGCUGGGUUGCCUCCCAGUAAGUGCUUUUGUUUUAUGUCAUGGGCUCGACAUGCUGUAUGCUCAUUCUUUAUAGAUUGGUUCAGUUAACUCUACAGAAGCGGUGAGUUCUGCUGUCCAACUUUCAUAGAAAGGUUUCAAACGAUGCCCAUUGACCUUGAGUACUUUGUUGGUUUCUAAACUUGUAAUUUCAACUGCACCAUAAGAAAAAACAUUAGAAACAACAAAGGGUCCAAUCCAACGAGAGCGCAAUUUUCUAGGAAAAAGUUUCAAACGCGAAUGAUAAAGAAGGACUUUGUCUCCAACAUGAAACUCCUUUCUUGUAAGCAUUCGGUCAUGAAGAUUCUUAGUCUUUUCUUUGUAAAUCCUUGCAUUCUCGUAAGCAUCAUUUCAAAUUUCUUCCAACUCUUGCAGUUGUAGUUCUCUUGCAAUCCUAGGAGCAUCAUAAUCAAUGUUACAUUGUUUAAUGGCCCAAAAAGCUUUGUGUUCAAGCUCCACCGGUAGAUGACAUGCUUCCUGUUGCGAUGUCGCGGUCGCACAAAUUAAUUACCCUAGCUUCAAACACAACACACAAGAUAGUAUAGAGCAAGCAAGGGGUCGAUCCCACGAGGAAGUUCAAGUCAGAUUUUUAUGCUAGAUGAUAUGCAAUUUGGAGGGGUUUGGACAUUAUCUAGGCUAAAGCAAAAGAAAACAGAAAACUAUCAAACGAACUUCAGAAAAUUAUCAAGAGAACAAACCUUGGUCACAAGCACACAUCCACCUACAGAAAUCAGAACUGAUCAUGGAAACGAAACAUCAAUUUAUAUUCUGAAUAUUUAUCUCUUCUUAACAUUGGUUAGUUAACGGAUCCGCCGUAUAACUAGCCCUAACCAUCAAACAACCACAGUGUCCGCACUAGUAAUUUAAUUCAAUGGCAGCCUUAAGAACUAGAUAAGUUGAUUAAUCAAGAAAACAUAACUGUCUGCAGUCUAUGUUUGAUUUGAUUGAAUGUUCUCCCUAAGAUUAAUAACGUAGAUCCACCACAAUUAUUAAACUCAGUUGCUUCACAAGUUCAUAUACCACAACUCCGGUUUUGAUAUCAAACUUAGCAAUAGAUUGUCUACAAUAAUAACUUAGAGUCCGCUCUAGCAAUUAAAAUAAACAAUCAUAGGAAAAAUAAGCAUAGGAGAACAAACAUAUUCAUCAUAUAAACUGAAAAGAAAAGGUAAAAUAAAUCUCACAGCUCUUGAAAUCCGAAGGUUUCCGUGUCCUUGCAACCAAGAAAAAGUGUUUAGCCUUGCAUGUUUGUUGAACAACUAAUCAAAAAGAAGGAAGAAUGCAUAAUUUCGAGUUUCUUAGAGGAGGGGGGCGUUUUUCUCCUCUUGGCUGGCUGCCCCCCUUCUCUUCUCUCAUUCUUUUUAUAUCCUAGGAAACCCUAGGUCUCUAUUUUACAAAAUACUCCUCCAUUAAGUAGACUGUUUACAUUUAAGCACUUCAAUAACUAUUUUCCUAAAAAAGGAGAAAUAGCCUUGCAUGAAAUCUUCAAGCUUUGACUUAGAGGAGCUAAAUUGCUGAAAUAAAAACUUGGAUAUCGGUUUAGAUGCUUCGGAACGUAAUUUGGACUCGUUUCUCCACGAAACCUGUUUGCUGGCAGAAUUCAGUUGUCAUCUUUGAAAAAUCAUAUCUCCCUCAUAUGACAUCGGUUUUGGCUGAAAUUUGGAGCGUUUAUAGACCUUUGACUCAUGAAUCCAAAAAAAUUGAGUUUGAAUCAAUUUGACUUCUGUAGCUCCAGACAUUCAAGUUGGAAUGGCCGAAGGUCAACACUGGCAGAUUGCGAGAUUUGACUUUGAAGGCUGCGAUUUCCAUGCUCUUCCUUAUUUUAUUUUCUUGCCUUAGAUUUCCAGAAAGUUAUGGAUGUUAGCUUUUUAAUGCCAUUGGAAUCACUUCAUUUCAACCUCUAGAGCUCACGCUCUGCACAAAACAUCGACUGAAGGUCAAAUCUGCCAAUUAUCUCCAAUUUACUCCUUUUUGCAUCUUUAAUCCAAAAGUGCCUUCAAAACAUAAAACAAAGAAUAUCAAGGCAUUUUAUAUAUAAAACAUAAGCAAAACACUAGUUAAAUGUGGGUGAAACUAUCGAAUAAUAUGGUUGCAUCACUUUCCCAUAAAUAAUUCUAUAAGGUGACAUUCCUAUAGGUGAUUUAUAAGCAGUCCGAUAAGCCCAAAGUGCAUCUCCAAGACGUAGACUCCAAUCUCGCCGGUUAGGUUGCACUGUUUUCUCCAAAAUGGACUUGAUUUCUCGAUUUGAAAUUUCAGCUUGGCCAUUCGUUUGAGGAUGAUAUGCUGUGGAAGUUCGAUGAGUCACAUGAUAUUUGCGUAGCAAUGCUUCCAUGGAACGAUUGCAGAAAUGAGUGCCACGAUCACUAAUGAUAGCUUUAGGGAUUCCAAACCUGUCAAAUAUAUGAGUCCUGACAAAAUCUAAAACAACCUUAGCAUCGUUAGUUUGUGUGGCUUUUGCCUCAAUCCAUUUGGACACAUAAUCAACAGCAAGAAGAAUAUAAAGAUUGCCAAAUGAAGAAGGAAAUGGACCCAUAAAAUCAAUACCCCAAACAUCAAAAAUUUCACUUACAAGAAUAUUCGUUAAAGGCAUUUGAUUCUUAUGAGUGAUAUUACCUGUUCUUUGGCAUUUUUCACAUGAUUUGCAGAAGUGAUAUGCAUCUUUAAAAAUAGAAGGCCAAUAGAAACCACUUUCAAGUACCUUGUGGGCUGUUCUUUUUGCUCCAAAAUGCCCACCACAAGAAUGAGAAUGACAAAAGGUGAGAAUGGAAUGAAAUUCAUUUUGUGGUACACACCUCCUAACUACUUGAUCCGCACAAAAUUUCCAAAGGUAAGGAUCGUCCCAAAAAUAAUAUUUAGCAUCAACUCGUAACUUAUCUUUUUGGGGUUUAGACAAACCUGGAGGGAAUUCUUUGGUGACUAAAUAGUUUACCAAAUCAACAUACCAUGGUCUUGUAGAGGAAUGCAACAUAUACAACUACUCAUCGAAGAAUGUCUCUUUUAUUGUUUCGAUCUGUAUAUCUUCGGUCCUCAGUCGGCUCAAGUAAUCAGCCACAUGGUUUUCGGCACCUUUUUUGUCUUUGAUCUCAAGAUCGAAUUCUUGUAAAAGCAAGAUCCACCUAAUCAGUCUUGGUUUGGACUCCUUCUUCUUCAAAAGAUACCUGAGAGCUGCAUGAUCAGUAAAAAUAAUGACUUUUGUACCAAGUAGAUAUGACCUGAAUUUUUCAAGAGCAAACACUACUGCAAAACGUUCCUUUUCAGUUGUAUGGUAAUUGCAUUGUGCUCCAUCCAACAUGCGAGAAGCAUAGGUGAUAACAUGCAAAUUCUUCCCAAUUCUUUGCCCAAGCACAGCUCCUACUGCAUAGUCACUCACAUCACACAUUAUCUCAAAAGGUUCAUCCCAAUUUGGUGGUUGGAUGAUAGGGGCAGAUGUGACACGUCUCUUAAGCUCAUCAUGGACAUCUUUACAUACUUGAUUAAACACAAAAUCCACUUCUUUGGCUAAUAGUCUGCACAAGGGUGCUGUAAUCUUCGAGAAAUCUUUGAUAAAGCGUCGAUAGAAACCUGCAUGGCCUAGAAAAGAACGAACUUCCCUCACGCAUCAGGGGUAAGGCAAUGAUGAAAUAACAUCUAUCUUAGCUUUAUCAACCUCUAAUCCACGUGAAGACACAACAUGCCCAAGAACUAUUCCUUAUUCUACCAUAAAAUAACACUUUUCAUAGUUCAAGACAAGGUUAGUUUCAAUGCACCUUUUCAAGAUCAAAGAUAAAUUUUCUAGACAUUUAUCAAAAGAAUCACCAUACAUCGUGAAAUCAUCCAUAAAAACUUUGAUUAUUCUUUCAACAUAGUCAGAAAAAAUACUCAUCAUGCAUCUUUGAAAAGUUGCAGGAGCAUUACAGAGACCAAAAGGCAUUCUUCUAUAUGCAUAUGUACCAAAUGGACAUGUAAAUGUAGUCUUUUCUUGAUCCUCAGGAUUAAUAACAAUCUGAUUGUAUCCACUAUAUCCAUCAAGAAAGCAAUAAAAAGACUUACCUGCUAGGCGUUCAAGCAUUUGAUCCAUGAAUGGAAAUGGGAAAUGAUCUUUACGUAUAGAAAGAUUGAGCUUUCUGUAAUUAAAACACAUUCUCCAUCCACUCGAGAUGCGAGUAGGAAUGAGCUCAUCAUUUUUGGGCACCACAUGGAUUGGCGCGACCCAUUUACUAUCAGUGAUGGGGUAAAUGACUCCUGCAUCUAACAGUUUCAAAAUUUCAGCUUUCACUACCUCCAUUAUAGGUGGGUUCAACCUCCUUUGCAUUUCCCUUGUUGGUUUUGCGUUGUCCUCCAAUAGUAUGUGAUGCAUACACAUUGAGGGACUAAUGCCUUUGAUGUCGGCUAAAGUCCAUCCAAUGGCCAUCUUGUGAUCACACAACAACUUCACAAGUUUUUCCUCUUGCAUACUUGUCAAACCUUUUGCUAUGAUAAUGGGAAGUGUAUUGUUGUCGCCAAUGAAUACAUACUUCAAAUUAUCGGGCAAAGGUUUUAAUUCUAACUCGAGGGCCUGUAAAAUAGAUGGCAAAAGCUUUUUAUGUAAGAGUACUAAAUCAACAAAGACAUUACCAUAGUGAACAGUUUGCAAAGCUUGUAAGGCCAAUACUGAUUCGUGCACGUUUUGGGGAACACACAUGUGCCUUUCCAUCUCUUCUAUCUUGGCGAAAUCAUAGCCAUAGCUCAAAGCUAUGCUUAAUCCGUCUUCGCAAUCAAAAUCACAAACUUGCUGCACACACUUAUCAAUUUGGCCAUAGCAUGUGAUAGAAUAAACAUUGCUAUAAGGAUAUUUUAUUGCAUCAUGAAAAUUGAAUUCAAUUUUUUCAUCUCCUACCUCCAUACACAAGGUAUCCUUACCACAAUCAAUCUUUGUGUUGACAGUUUUCAAGAAUGGUCUACCAAACAAUAUAGGAGUGCUGGUUGAUGAAUCACAAGAAUCAUUUUCCAUAUCAAGAAUAUAAAAAUCACAUGGAAUAACCAAACUAUCAAUCUUGACUAGGACAUCUUCUAUCACACCAAGUGGGUAAACAAAACUAUGAUCCGCAAGUUGUAUUACAAUGCUAGUUUUAUUCAAAGGCUCAAGACUAAGAGAAUCAUAAACAUGUUUGGGCAUAACACUAAUGGAUGCACCUAAAUCACAUAAAGCUCUUUUAAAACUAGCAUUACCAAUAACACAUGGGAUAGUAAACGCACCUGGGUCUUUUUGUUUCAAAGGCAGAUUCUUUUGAACAACGACAGAUACAACUUCACCCAUACUUAUCAUUGCAUGACCUUUCAGUUUGAAAGCUCUUUUGGUAGUACACAACUCCUUCAAGAAUUUGGCAUACUUGGGAAUUUGCUUGAUAGCAUCAAGCAAAGGAAUGUUGAGUUAUACUUUCUUGAAAACCUCUAAAAUCUCUUUUUCUUUGUCCUCUUUCUUUGACCUAGAAGAAUUCACAGGAAAUGGUGCAAUUGUUUUAAAACUGGAAUUCAUUGAGUGAUGACUUACCUUUAGAGUGUUAGUCGUGGUUUCAAUUUGUAAAGGAGAAGGAUGUUUCUUCUUUGUACUCAAUUCAGUUUCUAUCUCUUCUUCGUCCUCCAUCUCAAUUUGUUUUGACCUUUACUCUUCAAGUUCUUUCCCACUUCGCAGCAUGAUUGCAAUAACAUUCUCUUUUGGAUUUAAUGCUUGGGAGGGAAACUUUCCAUUCAUUUGUGCUUCUAAUUUCCCUACACUUGAAGCUACUUGCCCCAUUUGCUUUUCUAAGUUGUGAAUACUUGACCUUGUUUCUUGUUGAAAAGACAUGACAUUUUGUUGCAAGGUAACAGUGUUAGAAGCCAAAGUUUUCAUCAUCUCAUGAAGAUUAUCAUUGGAUGACGACCCCAUAACAUUGGAGUUUGUGAAUGGAGGGGCCUGUCUUGCUUAAUAAUUCUGUUGGGGCUGAAAUCCAUGGGGAUGGAACUGUCGGCCUAGAUUGCCUGGUUGGGAUGGGUUGCCAUAGCGUAAGUUGGGAUGAUCUCUCCAUCCGGGAUUAUACGUGUUGGAAAAGGGAUCAUAUUUACGCUGGGGCUGUCCAUUGAAUGCUCCAUCAAUUGCAUGAGCUUGUUCAAUGUAAUCUUCUUGCAUUGUUGGGCACAUAUCCGAAGCAUGUCCUUGUAAGGAGCAUAUGCUACAAACUUUCACCUGCUGCACAUUUCCACAAGCCAAAGAACGCACAAGAGAAGUAAGAUCAUUAACUUUAUUUUCAAGGUUAGAAAUACUUACCUCAUUUACUCGUUUGUUGGAGAAGUCUCCACGAGUGCUAAACUAUUUUGAGUUAGCUGCCAUGUUUGAGAUCAAUUGGCAUGCAGCCUCGGGUGUAUUAUCCACCAAUGCGCCUCCACUUGCAGCAUCAAUGAUACUACGGUCAGUAGGCAUCAAUCCUUCAUAGAAAUAUUGAAUGAGUAGCUGAUCGGGUAUUUGAUGAUGAGGACAUUGAAUGCAUAGUUGCUCAAAUCUUUCCCAAUACUCGGAGAGAGUCUCUCCUUGAGAUUGCCGAAUCCCACAUAUUUAUUUCCUUAUGUUGGCAACUCGAGAUGCUGGGAAAUACUUCUCAAGGAAAAUCUUCUUCAUGGCAUUCCAAGUUCCAAUAGAUCCUGGGAGAAUAGAGAAAAGCCAUGCCUUUGCUGCCCCCUUCAAAUAGAAAGGGAAAGCUUUCAACUUAACUUGUUCUUCAUCAACUCCAUUCGGUUUCAUGCCAACACAAACCAUAUGGAACUCCUUGAGAUGAGUAUGAGGAUCUUCUCCUGCAAGACCAUUGAAUGUAACAAAUGUAUAAAACCAGAUUUAAGCUCAAAGUUUACAUUAUUGUCAAUGUUUAUGCACCAUGGUUGAUUUUCCACGUUAGGAGCAGCAAGCUCCUUGAGUGUUUGUUGUCGUGCAACCGCCAUGGUGUUGAGGCGAGCUUCUUUUCUUAACCUGCGUAAAGUGCUUUCUAUUUCAAGAUCAACCUGCACUUGAAUUUGAUUAGUAGAACGGGUCACAGGCAUAAAUCACUAAGAAAACUCAAAAGAAAAUUAUAUGAAAAUCCUACGCUAGAAAACUAAAACUGCCUAAAAACCUUAGAAAACAGUGGAAUUUGGCCUCGAUAGGGUGGGGAUAGUGUUCAGAACGUCGUUUCCCUUCAAGAAACAAAAGGUCGAAACCUAAUUCCACCAAAAAUUAUGUUUUGAACAGUACCGCUGCAGCAAGUGAACAGUACCGUCACAAGCAAAAAUUGUCUUUUUUUUUUAAUCACAGCAAAUAUUUAAUUGGAUUCAAGAAUGCUAAAAUUAUAUACUUCCAUACAAGAAUGCUGGAUUCAUGGGCACUCUGUUAGGGUUGCUAGCUAGAAUUAAUUAUUGGAAAAAAUAGUGUCCAUAUACCAUGAUUUAUUAUGGUUUAAAAUAGUGAAAUUAUACAUUUUCCCUUCACAAAAAAAUAAAUAAACUGACCUUGAAUGGUAAUUGAAUAUUUUUCACAAGGUUCAUUUGUUAUUCUUAAGUUUUUUUAAGGCAACAACAUUGUCUUUUCACAAUUCUUUUCCACGAUUAAUUUAUUUGAUUGCGCUUGGAAGCAAAACAACACUUAACUAUGGUCUAGAAACUUUUUUUAUAUUUCAUUUGUUUUAAGAAUAGUAUAAUGACUCUAUUAUCUGUAAAAUUAAAAUUCUCAAAUCUUGACUUCAAGGGCUCAUUCAUAAUUUUACAAUUGUUUUUUCAUAAUAAUUAUUUAAACAUGUGUGGUGCAACGACUCUAUCCUUCAAUUCAAAUUAAUGAUAUUAUGUUUUUCAAUAUGAACCUUUUGUGAAAAUUAUUAUUCUUUUCAGUUUAUUUUUUAAUUAAAAUAUUAUUUUUUAUGUCAAUUUUGAUUUUCGUUGUAUUCAUUUUUUUUUCUUUUACUAAAUUGAUUUUUCCUUUCAAUUUCACCCUUCAAUCCAAUAAAAAAAAUUAUUAUUUUUUUAAUUUUGAUCUUUAUUAUUUUAAUUAAUUUUUUAAAAAUUAUUUUGUAUAAUUAAAUUAUUUUUUAAAUUUUAUCCUUCAAUAUUUAAUUAAUUGAUAAUUGAACUUCAUGGUUUUUUUAAAUUGGAUGUUUUAGAUUUAAUAACUUAGGUCAUGAGUUUAAAAAGUUAACAAGGUUUUUGUUUUUUUAAAAAAGCUUUAUAAUUCUCUUUAUUUUUUUUAUUGGGUUAUUCAAGUCUUAUUAUCUGAUCCGCAGGUUUGGUAGGAUAUCCCGAAUUAGUUCGACCCUAAUUAUCGAGGUUAUAGAUUUGACAUACUAACUUGGAUUGACAAAAACAAUUUUUUAUAUGUUAUUUUUUAGCUUGUUUUGUUCUUUUAUAUGAGUUGUGGAUCCAUUUAUUGUUUUUUAUUUAUUUUUUAUUAAUUAAAUUAAAAUCAGUUUAUUUUACCUAGUUAAGUUUAUGAAUUAAAUUUUAUUUUUUUUUAAAUCUAGCGGUAGCUAAACAUUAUUUUUUGCAUUAAAAAAAAUCAGCUUUCACUAUCCAAAACAAAUAUUAAAUCAUCGAUUAUAUCAUAAACACCGUAUUAUGGAGGAAAUAAAUAAUAACAAUCAUCAAUUAAUUUUAGAAGAGAAGAGGUACAUGAAAAUUUUAAAAGAAAAUAUAGCAACAUAAGAAAAAAAAAUUAAUAUCAUAACAACAAUAAAGAAAAUCCUAACAACAUGAUCCAGAAGUUGUAAAGAGUAAAAAGAAAGAAAGAAAAAGAUAAAUCAACAUCGCUUGAUCUGAAUUACGCGAAAGGUUAAAGAUAAAUCAAAAUUAAUAUUCUGGAAUGAGAAUAAAGAGCUGGUUCGAGUAAAGGUUAAAGAUACUCUUGACAGCAAGAAGCUAGGAUAUGGCUUUCAAGAUGCUCCUGUUCCUUGGCUGAAAAUUAGACCACCACCAAAAUUAUCAAGGCAGGAAAAAUCACGUCGUGCAGCUGAAAAAAGCGUUGUAUUAACACCAAUUAGUGCAUUCCCUGUUGUCUUGGAUAAAGUCAUAAGUGUGGAGGUUUCCAGGCCAAGGAAAUCAAGAAGCGCGACGGGGAAAGAAGAUGAAGAUGAAGUUUUAGUUAUUGAAGGGAUUGAGUAUGAAGAAAAUCAAUUAAGUUCGAUGUCCUCGGCAACGAUGAACCUGAUUCACCUGGUGGACCAGACAAGUCCGGUGGUGAUCUUGUUACCAUUGAUAGUGUCAAGAUUGAGUUUGUUGCUGAUUGAUCAUGCUGCUGAUGAGGGGGGCUGUGCUACCAUUUUCUUUUCUUUCUUUUUUUCUUAAUCUUUUUUUAUUUCUAUGUUAGAAUUCAGUGAGUUUUCUCGCUCGUCUUUCAAUUUAGAUACGAUAAUGAUUUCUUAGAUCUGUUCCCCCAGGAAAAAAAAAAAAAAAAAGGUUCAGAAGAAAUCAGUUGUGGUUUCUUUAUUUUUAUAAAAAAAAAUAAAAAUUCAUCUUCCUCUAAACUUUGCUGUGCCUGGCAGCGCUCCACGCCAGGCGAGCCUAUAUAGAAAUAUAAGACCUGAAUUGAACAUCUAUCUUUUUCUUUUUCUUUUUGUUAAAUAGAUAUUUGUAUGAAAAUCUAUGAUAUAUAUUAAAUUUUUUUUUUUACUCAUGUUUUUUACCAAAAUAAUUUUAUUAGUAGCGUGUUUGUUUAAUUAAAACUAUAGGUAAUUAAAAUAAAAUUUUCUCUCUUUUUUAUUUUCAGUAUCCUAGAGGCGGCUUGAAAUCCAUGUUCAUGCUUUUUCUUGUUUUUCUUCUCUUUGGUGAGUUUCAAUUUUUUCUCUUCUAUCAUAAGUUCAAUUAAUGGGCCCUAUCCCAUUGUUUUCUUUAAAGACUUCAGUAGAUUUGUGACGCCUAGUUAAAGGUCGGAAGAAGAAAUAACUUGCUUUCUCUAUUCAAUAAAAUAAAAUAAUAAUAAAAAAUAAAACCUCUCUCAUUCUUAUCCGAUAAAGGAAAAGGACAAAAUAUAUGGGGUGGAAAAGAAAAGGAGAAAGGAGAACAAAAUAAUAUAUAUAUAUAUAUAUAUAUAUAUAUAUAUAUAUAUAUAUAUAUAUUCUCCAUUUUAAAAUAUGUAUUUUUAUAUUUUGAAAUGCAAAUAUAAAAAUAUGGUGUUAUUAAUUUAUACUUUGCCUUUGAGCAUGGAUAAUACAUUACAUUUCAUGGAACCGUUACUUUAAUUAAAAACCCAGCAACACCGUGAAGGAAAAAAUAAUAAUAAAAGCAAGAAGAAGAGGAAUAAGAGUGCAAGACCCCGAAAGGUACUUCCUACCUCGUGAAUGAUCUUAUGAGAAAUUGGAAGAUCUCUCCCUUUUUUACACUGACACCGCGCUUCAUCAUCGUAGGUGGGUUUACCAAUGCGGCCGUGGACGAGUAGUGUUUCGAUUGAAAAAGAGGAGGUUUUUCCUUCUAUUUUUAAGAGGAAAAAAAAAAAGCCAAAUUUUACUUAUUCCCAAAAUCGUUUUCGAAAAAGCAACGUAGUUUUACUUCUAUUUCCAUAGAGCAAAUAUUACUAAAAAAAAAGGUUAAAAUUCAAUCACGUCGUGUGUUUGUAAAAAUCAAAUAUAUACCUAGAUACAUAACAUAAAUCAUUAAAACUAGGUGUGAUUAUUUUUAACUUGUUAGGUUUUGGGGUAAAAUAACAAUCAAACCAUAAAUUUUAUACCACCGAACUGAAAAUCAAUCUAAAUUAUAAAUCUCUAGAAAUUUAAAAAUAAAAUAAAUUAAAAUUAAAAUAAUUUUAAAUAUGUGAUCAAUAAAUAAGGAAAAGAAUUAAUGGUAUGAAAAGUGUUCUUGUAAAACCUGGUUGAAAUCAAUAAUAUUACCAUGAAACGAUAUUAAAUCUGUAAAUGAACUAAAUAAUAAAAAGAUAAGAUAAAUAUAUUUUGAAAUAAAAAAAAUAAUCCCGAGAAUUUAUUGUAAUAAUCAAUACGAUCCAUAUAAAGAUGACACAAGAAAAUUUGGAUUUUGGUGUAAAAUCAUCUACCGAUCAGGUUUAUACUAUCGAGUAUAAUUCUUAAUACAACCAUUGGAUCAUGUUGAAAUCUUACAAGAGUCUCCUAAUAUAGUUUUCUAUUUGGUCCCAGUAUGUUUUCUGUCCAUUUCCUUAUAAUUAUCAUUCUUAUUACUAGUUCUCUUAGAUCAUAUCUUUGAGUUAUUAGCCAAGGCCUCUUGCAUCUCUACCAAUAUCUCAAGUCUGGCUCUAUGUGUUUCACUCUCAAGUUGUGUCCAUUUUGGGCUCAUGGGCAUCACUCUUGAAGUUGUGCCUCGUGAUCAGAAAUUCUAAUAAUAUUAUGCUACUAGAGAGAUGUAUGUCUGUGAAAUUUCAAUUUGAAGCUUUCUCCUGUACGUUCGCUUUUCUUCUGUGUUACAAUCAACAGGGUUUUGUUAUAGUUUGGGGUGAUAAAAUGUUAUCAGAGAGCAUGCUACAUAGAUCUCAGUUGUGUGUCAACUUUAUUGAUUUUAAUACACUGAUAUGAAAGUUGCUUGAUCAGUGCACAAAGGGAGUUUUAUGUGCAUGUGUUCUAUGCUUCACUUUUUCUUAUUUUAGAAAUAAUUUCUUUCUUGGCUAAAUUUAAUGUCUCGCCAGUUACAUGGACAACAUCGGAUGCAGUAUUCUCAACCAAUGGACCACCAGCAAUUUCAGAGUAAUUAAAGGCAUAACUACAAUGUUUUUCUCCACAUAUCUUAAAUUCUGUUAACAAUAAAACCUGAACUGAAGAUCCAUCUUGUUUAAAAUUCGAGUUAUUGAUAGGUAGGUUAACUCGAAUUAACUUAAAUUUAUUGGAUCUAAAAUCUAGGUCAUUGGUUGAGUAAAUUAACCCUAUUUCAUCCCAAUAUAUUUUUUAAAAUUAAAAUAUUAUCAUAGUAGACUUUUUUAAAUGAAAAGUAAACUUGAAAUGAUAUGAUUUAAAAAAAAACUAAUCUUUUUCCUUAAACUAGCUCAAAUUAGAUUUUACAUCAAUGAAUCACCAAGUUAAUUCGAGAUUUAAUAUAACUAGGCCCAGGUGGACAAAAAUAACUAGGCCGAUGAAUAAAGAAAAAAUAAGAAAUAAAAGUUGUGGGAUGAAAAAGAAAAGGAAAAGAAAAUAUAUCAUAGCAUAUCUUCUCCAUUAAAUUUAUAAUCAUCAUUUUUUUAUUCAUGUUUUUAAACAAAAUAUUUUUUAUUAGUAGGAUGUCUUUUUAAAUAAAAAUAAAGGUAAUUAAAAUAAGUUCUUGUAAGAGUUUGAAUGAUUUAAAAUAAGCAGAAAAACUAUAUUUAUUAAAUCUAAACUAUAUUUAUUUAUUAUUGCAUUUUAUUUAAGAAAAAUAAAUUAUUUUGUUAUAAGUAUUGUUUCUUAAAUUAAAACAAAACUAAUCACAAUCUUGAAAGAAAGUUUUAACAAAAUAAAAUUUGAAAAUUAUAUCUAAAAAAAAUAAGAAAAAGAUUAAUCUAAUUUUUUUUAAUUAAUUUAUAAUAAAGAAUUACAAAGUAGAAAUCUUAUAUUUAUUGAAUAUUUAUAAUCACAAAUUUAAAGAUAAUUGAUCCAGAGAUGAACUUGUUACCGUAGAUGGUAAAAGAAGAAGAAGCAGGCCUAACUUUGUUGCUGGCUGAUCAUGGCAGAUAGGGGGCAUAUGCUAUGUUUUUUUUUUCUCUCUCCUUUUUAUUUCCAGUGUCCUAGAGGCGGCUUUUCUACUUGAAAAUGUUCAUGCUUUUUCUUGUUUUUUUCUCAUUAAUUGGCGAGCUUCAUUAUUUUAUCUUCUAUCAUAGGUUCAAUUAUUGGACGGUAUCCCACUGUUUUCAUUAAAGGCAUUAGUAGACAUACCAUCAAUGUUUGUUUUUUUUUUCACAUGCUUUCUCUAUUCAGUAAAAUAACUAUUAAAUACCUCUCAUUGUAAUCUUAUCCGACGAAGGAAAGGAAGAGGACAAAAGAUGUGGGGUGCAAAAGAAAAGGAGAACAGAGAAGAAUAUCAUAUAUAUAUAUAUAUAUAUAUAUAUAUAUAUAUAUAUAUAUAUAUAUAUAUAUGAUAUUCUAUAGGAGUUAAAAAGAAUAGUAAAAGGAAAACAAAGAGAGGAAGUAUUAACCUUUUCAAAUGCUAAUAUUGACACUAAGGAAAUGUUAUAGAACAAAAAUAAAACGUCGCACAUCAAAUGUUUUUAAGAAAUUAAUGGAUUCAAAUAUACAAUAUGAUGUUAUAUAUAUUUUUUUUAGAUUAAUAUAGGUAUUCGGAACAGUUUGUGCGUACCUCAACUAAUUCCACAUGUCCUUAAGUUAAUAACCAUAUAAGUUUUUAAUGGCUCUAAAAUUUAUAAGACUUGAACCGGUAAUCUCUAGAGAUCAAAAAUAAUACAUUACAUUUCAUUGAUCCAUUACUUUAAUUAAAAACCCAACAACUCCAUGAGAGAGAGAGAAAAUAAUAAAUAAAAGCAAGAAAGAGAGGAACAAUAAUGCAAGAUUUUAUUAUUAUAAUUCGGUAGGGCAGCACAAUCAUAUAAUUGCAAAAGAUUUUGAAACAAGGUCACAUGUUAGCAUCAGUAAGAAAAGAGAAGGUAAUCAUCUAGGUGGUGACUAAUGGUAAGACCUUGAGAUCAAGAGAUUUGCUUUCUCUAUUGUCACAGGUUCGAGUGCUGUGGUUACUCAUAUGAUGGUCACUGUAGGCUUACAUAGUCGUUAACUUCAGGGCCCGUGAGAUUAGUCGAGAUGCGCACAAGCUGGCCCGGAUAUCCAUCUUAAACUAAAAAAAAAAGAAAAUAGAAGGUAACAUAGUACGAGAAAUUAAAAAGUUUCUUCUUUUUUUUACACUUCGGUCAUUGAAAAAAUAAAAGAUAAAAAACCAAUCCAAGACUCAAAGAUCUCAAUUAAACCAUACCCAUUUACUUCAUCACUCAUUAAACAGAAAAAUAUUCAAAAUCCAAUCUUUACUUGUCCAUUAUGACCCUCAGGGAAAUAAAACACUCUUUCUCCAUGCUUGGGAACAUCACAAGUGGAACUACACAUGCCUUCCAUAACUCUAUAUUAUCCUAGAACCAAAAAGUCAAUUUUCCUAGAAAACAAACAAAAUAAAUAAAUAAAUAAAUAAGUUCAUUUCACACUUCACCUCCAUUGUUCCCAGUGGAUUUACCAUCCUCCUCUUCCUAUUCCUCGAUUCAUAGCCAUCACUUUUUAAAACCCACCAAGCAACAAAAGCAGCAGCCAAAGUCGACAAUAACUUGAAGAAUCGUGCUUUCAAAAUAGAGACGUGCGAGAGAAGAAAAAUGCGAGACAACCAGAGAGGCAGAAGCGGGGUUGGCUAUGAAAAAGGCUUUGGUGGACAUCGAGAGAGAAGGGUUGAGAGGAGGAAGGGGGUGUAGGUUGUGAGAGUGAAUUUUUGGAUUUGAGUUUUUUUAAGACAUUUUUCUAUUUAUACUUCUGUUAAGUUAAUAAUAUUUUUUAUUUUUUGUUCAACAAUUAUAGUCCGAUCUGGUUUAAUUAUAGCAACAAUAUAUGGCCCAUUACUCUCAAUUUCUAAAUCUUAACCCUCACCCUAAGUUUUGCAAUAGUUUCUAAAUCUUUAUUGUUUUUCAAGUUUUAAUGAAUUUGAGUUUCCUAUAAAUUAAUCUUUUGCAUUACUCUUCAAUUUUAAAGAAAAUAAAAGAAAUUAUAGUCAUUGAAAGUCAAACCUUGAGAAAGUUAUCGGAUAUACAACUUCCAAUCUAAGCAUGCUUUUGCAAUUGAUCUUGUUAAUUUACACUUAGAGACAAACCACAAAAAUAGUAUUUGGGGUUCCAAUUGGAUAAUCUAUGAUUUUUAAGCGAAAACAUGUAUUUUUUAUAAAAUAAACUUUGAGUUGGAGGGUUCAAUUACAAAAUUUUAAAAUCUUAGAGCUAAAAUGUAACUUUUGUAUUAUAGUUCCAACUAUUCAACCUUAUUACACCCGUGCACGGUGUUCAAGUUACAACAUCUUUUUUGAACUUUGGAGAAGAUUCGAUUCGUGACAUGCUUAGUGUCGACAAAAUGUAUACCAACUUGUUCAAAAAAAAUAUAAAAUAAAAAUGGUUCAUCCAUUAUAUAACAAAAUGUGUAGUUUCAUGAUUUAACAUUUUUUUCCAUUUGUUUUUCUUUUCAUUUUUUACUCUCAUGGUCUUAUCAUAGUGCCAACCUCUUUCUAAUCAUGUUUUAUAAUUAUUAAUGUUAAGAUAUUGGUUUAAUGAUUAUAGAGGUUAGCUUCAUUAUUAGCAUGCUAACAUAAAGGAUGUGAUUUUAAAAAUAUUCAAGUAAAAAUUUAAAGAGUAUUUAAAAAAAUAGUUCCGAUUAUUUUUUAAAAUAUUUUUUAUUUAGAAAUAUAAUAAAAAAGUUAUUUUUAAUAUCAUCAUAUCAAAAUAAUUAAAAAAUAUUAAAUAAUUAAUUUAAUAUAUAUAUAUAUAUACACACACACCAAAACAAACAUCAUUAAAAUGAAAUACAGAUGCUGCGACUUUUGAUAAACAAGGUUUAUCUGAUACUAGUGUCCCACUCAGGGAUCACCACUUGAGAUUCGAGUGCCUUUUCUCCUGUACAUGCUCAGAAGGCUAUAGCUGUGGAGAAGGCAUCGAAGAUUAAUGCACAUUGUCCACAUGCUCAGAAGGCUCAAUGGAUUUUUGAAUCUGACCAUUAAUGCAAUAAGUAUAAAAGGACAACGAGAACAGAACAUGUCUGUUCUGUGAGGUUGGUCAAGGAUAUGGAUUUGUUUCUAUAUCAUUAGUUGGAUUUCAAUACAUUUUUGGAUUACUAGGUAUUUAUAUAAUUAUUAACUUUAAAGUUAGUUAAGAUUUAUAUAAAUUGAUUUGAAUAUUUAAAUUAAUUUAAAAUUAAAAGAGAUUUUAAUUGAAAAUAUAUUACAUAAAUUUUUUAUAUUAAAACAUUAAAAUUAUAAUAUAUAUAUAUAUAAAUUAAUGUAUAUUAUAUAAAUAUAUUUUUAUAAAAUAAAAACUAUCGUACUCCCAAAUUUGUAUUCACUGAUUGCCUCUUUUAGCUUCUUUCAUUUCAAAUAGAAUAUUUUUUUAAUAAAAAGAUUUACAGAUCACAUUCACUCGGAUUGAGACUAUUUUAAUGGAAGCCACAGUAGUCGCUUUACCAUAGACAUUUCUUAUAUAAGGUAUCCAAGAAUCCUUCACCCCCACACCAAACCAAACCAUGGCUUCCUGUAUCUGUCUUUCCAGUAGCAUCCCUUUAGCUGCCUCCUCUUUCUUGCCUUCCUUCCCGAAAACACACCGAGUUUCCAGAAUUAAAAAGCCAAACCGUCCCAAUAUCCCGAUUGUUUCUUGCAAAUCAGGCAAGAAUGAUCACGAACAAAACCCUGCCACCAGAAGAGAUCUGCUCAUUGGUCUCGGUGGACUCUAUGGAGCAACUAGUCUUAGUGAUCCAUUUGCCUAUGCUAACCCCAUUGCACCCCCAGACAUAACCCAAUGUGAGCUAGUUCCCCUGCCAUCCGAAAGUGACCCCUCGAACUGUUGCCCUCCAACAUCCACAGAGAUCAAAAACUUCGAAUUCCCUUCUGCGUCCUCCCCAAUGCGCAUUAGGCCUGCUGCUCAUUUAGUUGAUCAAGCCUACGUAGCUAAAUAUGCCAAAGCCAUUGCACUGAUGAAAAGUCUUCCUGACGAUGAUCCACGUAGCUUCAAGAGCCAAGCCGACGUUCAUUGUGCUUAUUGUGAUGGUGCUUAUCACCAAGCAGGCUUUCCUGAUUUAGAACUUCAAAUUCACUUCUCGUGGCUCUUCUUUCCCUGGCAUAGACUCUAUUUAUACUACUUCGAAAGAAUCUUGGGUAAACUGAUUGAUGAUCCAACUUUCGCUUUGCCUUUCUGGAAUUGGGAUGCCCCUGCCGGCAUGCAAAUGCCAGCCAUUUUUACUGACCCCGAAUCACCACUUUAUGACCCCCUUCGCGACGCGAAUCACCAACCUCCGACAUUGCUUGAUCUUAAUUACGCAAAAGGAGAUGCGAAUCCAGACCCUGCAAAAGCAGAGGAAUUGUAUGCAAGCAAUCUGAACGUAAUGUACAGGCAAAUGGUGUCCGGUGCCACGAAGCCUACUCUCUUUUUUGGAAAACCAUAUCGUGCUGGUGAUGAUCCAAGUCCUGGAAUGGGUACAAUUGAGACCACCCCACACACUCAGAUUCACUACUGGACCGGCGACCCCAAUCAAACUAACGGGGAAAAUAUGGGCAAU
rnacentral:lncRNA from 1 species